rnacentral:lncRNA from 1 species
UGAGCUAUGUUAUACCUUGGAAAUUUUGCACUGCAUGCUUGUGUGCAGUGUAAUCUGGUUUCCUACUUGUACGGAGCAAUAUUCUUAUUAGAGCCAAGAAGACGUUGAUAUUGGCUGUACCAGCUGUUCUUGAUGUGGAAUUAUGUUGUUGGUGUUUGACUGAUGUUCUAAAGUGUGCUAGCUUUAUAUUACGGGUGUUCAAAAGUGUACUAUCUUUAUUUUGCGAUUACUGUGUCAUGAUUCCCAUUUCUAGGAAAUUUAUCUGGGUGCUUGUCAAUUUUGUUCAUUUUCUCUAUUUUUAACAACAAUUUGGUAUGCCCCAAGCAUGUAAUAUCCGACAAAGUUUAACAAUGGUUGUGACUAUUGCUAUUGGACAAAUAUUAAAUGCAUCAUCAACAACAAGCACAAAUAGCAUGGACAAAUACUGCGCAAUGGAAGUAUCAGGGCAAAUAUUGUGACAUGGAUAAGGGCAAUUGCUGCAAAGCCAUGUCUGUAGUCUACAAAGCAUUAUUACAUCGAACAAAUGAAUAUCCACACCAUUUAGUUACAGACACAAAUGGACAGAAACUAUAAAUGUUUGCUUUACAGAAAGAUUGCGCAGUGUAGACAAGCACCAUUGAUGAACAUUUGCUCACCGAUUACACCGUCAAUGGCGGAAGGAAGGACAACAACCUGGGCAGCUGUUUUCAGUCUCACAUGAUAGGACUUGGUCGUAAACUUGCUUAACUGCAGCAGCCACCUGAUUGAGAGGACGAGCCAGCACCACCUCCGGAUGCAUUGGGGACAGCAUAGCCAACUUUGAUUCCGUAGGACUACAGCGAAUAAGGAAAAAACAUUAUACAUUGAGAACAUUAGUUUGGGGGAGGAACAGUGCUAGCCUAGCCAAUCAGCGCUACAGGAAAUGAAAACAACUACUGUUUCAGAAUCAAGUAGAAGAGACGUUCUUAGAAGAAGAAUGAAUGUAAAUCAAACUUUGGUUUCAUCUAUUCGCCAAGGACGAAAAGCUGCAUUUAUGGGGUAUCGAAUGGAACAAAAGGAGCUGCCAAUGACAAAUGAAUAAAUGGCACAAAUCAAAAAAUACAGGAAACAAGAAAAGAGAGAAUAUAUAACUGGAGACUCAUCUAAUCAUCUAUCCACACUCAUCCCCUGAUGCUUAGAUGAUCAAAUGCUAAGAGAAGCACAUGAUCGCACUUCCAAUUACUACCUAACACAGAAAAGUUUGUUGACCUGCCCAAGUACACCUGUCCUCCUACCAAAACUUAAAUGCUUACAACCUGAUAAGAUACUGGUAGGAACGCAGACUAAGGCAUAGCCUAGUGGUGGGAAGGGGCUGAUGCCUUCCCACCCACCCAGGUUCAAGGCUUGGUACUUGCAAUUUGGGUUUGUUGCACCAAUUAUGUUGUAGGGGGUUCCCUUACAGUCUUUCUAUCAAAAAGAUACUGGUAGGAACUUGUACCCUACCAGGCCUGGGGCGUAAGCAGUAAGGGAAUGAGGGAGCUGGGCGAGGCGAUGAGCGGCCGCGCCGGCGGCGGCUAGGGUUAAAGGCGGCUAGGGUUCCGGCUCCUCUGGGAGCCGGGCAAUAGAGAUAAUAAUCUUCUUAUUGCUUGAUUCCAAAAGGAGUCUUACAGCCUAUAUUUAUAACCUAGAUAACUUGCAUAAGAAUUAACCUAAGAUAACUUGCAUAAGAAUUAACCUAAGAUAACUUGUGGGCUAAGAUUGCCCGGUGGGCCUAGCUAAACCGGCCAUAACACUUCUCCCCGCCUGCACAAACAGCUCGUCCUCGAGCUGUAAGGUGGGAAAGCGCUUGCGGAACUCCUCGAGGCGAUCAACCAGCGUCAAACACCUUCUCGACAGCUGGGGCGGCCAGGUCGGCGGCGAUGGCGUCCUCCGGAAUGUAGUCUGCAACCUCCAGGUAGAAGAGUCGCGGGCAGGCAUGGCCGGGCGUGUAGGGCUCGUCGCAGUUGAAGCACAACCCUUGGCGGCGACGCUCGAGUAGCUCGGCUGAGGUGAGCCGGCAGAACGGGCGUGCCGCGAUCACGGCGAGGGGUGCCGCAGAAGCCUGUGCAGGCCGACCCUGUGCGGAAUCCGGCCCGGGUAGCGACCCAGCGGUCCGGGACGAUGAUUCCUGCUGGAUGGCCACCGCCCGGCGCUCGAAAGCGCGGGGGCGUGGUACAUGGCCGACUGGAGAUCCUGGGGUCCCCGAAGCUCCACGUCCACGUGGAUGUGAUCCGGAAGUCCACCGACAAAGAGGUCGGCCCGCUGCUGCGCCGUCACACUCGACGCAUGGCAUGCCAGGGCCUGGAAACGGUCGGCGUAGUCCUGCACCGUGGAGGUGAAGGGAAGGCGGCCGAGCUCCGCCAGGCGGCUCCCGCGAACCGGAGGCCCAAAGCGAAGGAGGCAGAGCUCGCGGAAGCGCUCCCAAGGGGGCAUGGCGCCCUCGUCCUGCUCGAGGGCGUAAUACCAGGUCUGUGCCGCGCCGCGGAGGUGAUACGAGGCGAGCCAGGUACGCUCCGAUGCGAGGGUGCGCUGCCCGCGAAAGAACUGGUCGCACUGGUUGAGCCAGUUGAGGGGGUCCUCCGUGCCGUCAUAGGUGGCGAAAUCGAUCUUGGCGAACCGUGGCGGUGUCUGGGUCGGAGCGCCGUGUCGAGCUGGCUCAGAGGUGCGGAGCAGCGAGGCGGGUGGCGCUUGGUCGGAGUACUCCGGGUAGGGACCCGCGGAGCUGGAUGGCCCGCCGAACUGCGGAAACGGGGUCGGCUGCUCCGGAGCCGUGGUGUAGACCGGCGAUGGCGAAGACCCAGCCGCCCAUGCUGGAAGUGGCAACGGGGAGGGCGGGAGCCGGACCUGAUGAAUCGGGAGGCCGGUCGAUGAGGGUGCCCCCGAGCUAGGCAGGGGCGGUGCCGGUGGUUGGAGCGUCGGUGGCGGGGGGUGGGCGGGGGCGUCGGUGGCCGCGGGAGGGGGUGGCUGCAAGUACCACAGAGGGGCCGCGGCCGGCGUAGUCCCGCCGGGGUGUCCCGCUGGAAACGGCAGCAGGGGUUGCCCGGUGCAGGUCGGCGCGGAGAACGGCUGCAGCGGUCCGGUGGCCGCCGCCUGCGGCAUCUGCUGUAGCGGCCAGGGGCCCAAGGACGGCGUGGGCACCAAGGGCCAGAGGGCGCUCCGUACGGAGAGACGCCCUGGGGCGGCCACGGCGUGUGGCCGUAGGCGGCAGGGGGCGCCGUCGGCAGGGGCAUGUAGGGCCCGGCCGCGUACUGCUGCUAUUGCAGGCAGAGGCUCUGGACAGCGGUGACGAGGUCCUGCAGGGUGGCCGUGACCUGCUUCGGUGUGAAGACGGCGGACGGCGGUGGCGCAGGAGGAAUUGUGGAGGACGGCGCGGUCGGUGUCGCGGUGGAGACGGGGCCCGCCAGCGUGGUUGAUCCGGCGGCGGACGUCGUCGGCGCGGUGAGGGACGGCGCCGGCAGCAUCGGCGCGGUGGAGCCGCUGGAAAGCGCCGGCAGUGGUGGUGGUAGCGACAUGAUCGGAACUUGGUCUCUGAUUACCAAAUUGGUAGGAACUUGUACCCUACCAGGCCUGGGGCGUAAGCAGCAAGGGAAGGAGGGAGCUGGGCGAGGCGAUGAGCGGCCGCGCCGGCGGUUGGGCGCCAUCGCAGAAGAGGAGGGAGAUGGCGGCGGUGGCUAGGAUUCCGGCUCCUCUGGGAGCCGGGCAAUAGAGAUAAUAAUCUUCUUAUUGCUUGAUUCCAAAAAGAGUGUUACAGCCUAUAUUUAUAACCUAGAUAACUUGCAUAAGAAUUAACCUAAGAUAACUUGCAUAAGAAUUAACCUAAAAUAACUUGUGGUCUAAGAUUGCCCGGUGGGCCUAGCUAAACCGGCCAUAACAGAUACCCUCUAGACAUAUUACCAAGAUCUAUAUGGAUCUACAGUUGCACAUUUUUAAGAUCUCUUGGGUCUCACAUGGAACAAGCAACAUAUCCCCAAAGCCAUUUUGUUGCAUUUUCUUAUGACAAGAUCUCCAGUAAAAAACUGUUAUACUCCCUCCGUUCCUAAAUAUAAGUCUUUUUAGAGAUUCCAAUAUGGACUACAUACGGAUGUAUACAGACGUAUUUUAGAGUGUAGAUUCACUCAUUUUGCUCCAUAUGUAGUCCAUAUUAUAAUCUCUAAAAAGACUUACAUUUAGGAACAGAGGGAGUACAAGUUAUGUAUGGCACCAGAAGGAGACCAGACCAAUAUAUUUAACUUGGUUAUUUGAUAAACAGAAAAUCCAAGCAAUUUAACACUCACCUCAUUAGAUACAUCAAAAACACCAUCUUGGAUUUUCUUGUAUAUUGUUCCAGCCGUCUUAAUGAAUGCCUGCACCACAAAAAGGAUGUGAGUUUUCUUUUUGGACACAAACUAAAAAGUGUAAUCCCACAAAGCACACUACGAAUAAACCAUAACCUCCUCAACAUUUUGUGCUGUUUUUGCAGAUGCUUCCAUAAAGACUAGACCAUGCUCCUUGGCGAACUGUUCACCCUCCUCGUAGCUGACAGCCCGUCUAUGAGACAGAUCACAUUUGUUUCCGAUUAACAUCACUGUCAUAUUGGCAUUUGCAUGCUGUCUUGCAUCUUCUAGCCAGCUCGCAAGAUGGUUAAAAGUUUCCCUCCUGAAGUAUGGUCAGUCAGGUGGAAGGACCAUUAGCAUGCAGAAAUUUGAACACAAAAAGUGUUGUAUUCCCAAACCUACUGUACCUGGUGAUAUCAUAAACCAAAAGAGCACCAGCAGCACCUCUGUAGUAUGAUCUUGUUAUAGAUCUGAAUGAUUCUUGGCCAGCCUGUAAUGUGAAGAAAUGAUAGGUAUGAGAUGGAGGGCUCUGUGAAGUCGAACUCAACAACCACGGUGGAUCCUGGACUACAGAAACAUGCAAUCCCAAGCAAAAUCACAUGCCAAUUUAGUUAAGCAGUCAUCAACAGCAAAACUUGUUAUGUAACUAAUGAAAAGCAAAUCAUAACAUGGUAUGAUGAACAAGCUAAAAGAACAAGUAUAAACAUGAGUGCGAAGCUCUGAAGUUAAGUGGCCACAAAAGGACCCCUUCGGUAACAAACCCCAUAUUGGGGGGAAAUGCAGUCAAACCAUUAGAACUUUAAUUAAAAAAAACACCUUGGUGAAUACGUACUAUUUAGACCGUCUCAAGAAAUGCAUACUAGUAGGUUUAUCUGGGAAACACUGGAUUACUAUAAUCUUUUAUUAGGCUUUGCAAAUAUAUUACAUAUUACAACGGAAAUUGGUGACCAAUAGAGAGAUGGAAGUUGGUUUUUAGAAUCCGUGCCAAAGCAGCAAUGCCCAAAUGGGGCAUCCUUUUCUGACCAGAGAGAGUGAUCCAUAUCUAACCAAGAUAACUACUGUAGUAAUAUACUGUAAACUAGCAUAUGACAAGACAAUAAAACAAGGAAUGUAUGCUUCAUUUACUCCCGGGGGGCAAUACUGCAAGCAGUAGGAGGGAAAAUAACUAUACUGGCCAAAAUUAAAUUGCAUCUGAAUCAAGAGUUGCUAGUUGUAACAGAAAGGGCACGGCGUGGAGCACGAACCGUGUCCCAAAUCUGGAGCUUGAUGGGCUUGUUGUCGAUGGUGAUCAUGCGGGCGCCGAACUCGACGCCGAUGGUGAGGUCGUGCACGGGCUGAAACCUCUUGUCGGUGAACUGCAGCAGCAGGCAUGACUUGCCCACGCCUGCAAAAAGAAAAGCAAUCACGACGCGCUAAAAGAAAAGCAAGCGGCGCGCAUGGGCCAAGAAAGCAGCUCAGCGGCCUCGCGGAUCCGAUCCUAUUCCUACCCAGGGGCCAUACGGGAGAGAUUCGGGAGGGGCAGGGGAGAGAUUUUGCGAACCUGUGUCGCCGAUGAUGAUGUACUUGAAGAGGUAGGCGUACGACAUGGUCGAUCCCGGCGGCGGCGAACGGAUCGGAGGAGCGGCGAAUUGCCAAGGAUUCUAGCGUCUGAUUGGUUUAAGAGAAGGGAGGGGGAGGGGAAUUGCGGGCGCUUGUGCAACCGACGCACGCGACAGCUAUUUUGAUGUUGGCCGACCAAAAACUCGAGAGGCAGCCCACGGUGCGCCUAGCUGGCUGGAUGCGCGUGCCACGUUCAUGCUCGUCUCGGCCCUUCGCGGCCAAGGAAUCCACGUUCAUGCUCGUCUCGGCCCUUCGCGGCCAAGGAAUCCGGCUGGAUCUGCUUCCAGGGGGAAAGUAUCAGAUGCUCCAAAGCUUGGUGUACUCCCGGUGCUCCAAAUUCAAAAAAUAUUUUUUAAAUAUUUCAAAAAUUCAGAAAAAAAUUUGUGAAUGUUCAUAAGGAAUAUGACUACAACCCCUAAAAAUUUCAGGUCCAAACUCGAAAUACACAUUUAUAAACAAAAAGUUGAAAUCCAGAUGUAAAUAGUAUUCAUGUUGCCUUUGUUUUUUUAACACUAUUCAUGCUAGAUUUCACGUUUUUGUUUUUCAAUGUGCGUUUCAAGUUUGGAGCUGAAAUUUUUAGGGGUUGCAGUCACAUUGCUUAUGAACAUUCAUAAUUUUUGUCGGAUUUAUUUGAAACAUUUAAGAAUGUUUUUUUUUGAAUUUGGAACAUCGGGAGUACCCUAAGCUUGGGAGUACAUUAGACUUUCCCUCAUUUCAGGUGUUUCUUUUGCUGAUUUGGACCAUGAAGGUCUCCAUUUACUGAUAAUCCCAUCGUCUUGGUCUUCAUGCACUAAAUUGGCAGCCUUUGGGGAUCGCCUUGGGAACUAGUGGAUGGCCUUGCUCCCUUAGCACAAAAGAGGAAAGCAUUCCCAUCCGCGCCUACUGGCGCACCUCUAGCUUCGCUCGUCGCCAUGCACAUCACCCACGUGAAGGCACAGGGCCGCGUGACUCUACCGAACUGCUCUUGACUUGCACGCCUCCGCGAGGGGCCUUGGGAGGCCGCCUUGCUGGAGGGCUUCACGGGGCUCCUGGUGGCGCUCACUGACGUGCGCCUCGCGAGGGUCUUGCUCGUGAAGCCCUGGUGGAGGGCCAGCCUUGGGCUUCCUGGCGGGCGCCGCGCACUGGGUCGCAGGCAGACGGGCCUGGGUACCCCCAGUCUCACGGGCACGACAGUAGCCCCCGUGCCAGCGGUGCGCAUGACUCCGCCCGCUAGGUGGAGCGAAAUGGCGAGGACCCCAACCGCCUGCUGUCCAAGCUUGACGCGUGGCGCCCGACGAGACGUGGGGCGCCCCACUUCUCCCACGACGCCUCGGCAACCGCCCGGGCUAACAUAAAAUCUGCAUGCGCACGGCGUGAGGCCAUCAUUGCCCUCUCUAUCUUGCAUCUCGAUUGCUUGUAUCUGCCUUGGUAUUUCCCAGAAAAGGAGAGGAUGAUGUAGCACAACAACAUUAUGCAUUUCCCUCAGUUAUGAAACCAAGGUUAUCAAUCUAGUAGGAGAACCAAACAACACUAUGUAAAAACUCACUUGCACACAAAUAACAAAUACUUGCAACCCAACGUGUAAGAGGGGUCGUCAAUCCCUCCUCGGUUUUGAGAUAGAUAAAAUCAUAUGAGAUUUGAUAAAUAGAUCUGACAAAACACAAAAUAAAAUAAUAAAUAAAAAGUGCAGCAAGGUAUUUUUGGGUUUUUAGAAUAAUAUAUCUGAAAAUAAUAUGAUAGGAAAUAGACCCAGGGGCUGUAGAUUUCACUACUAGCUUCUCUCGAGAAAAUAGCAUACGGUGGGUAAACAAAUUACUGUUCGGCGAUUGAUAAAAGAGCAAAUAAUCAUGACGAUAUCUAAGGCAAUGAUCAUGUAUAUAGGCAUCACGUCCAAAAUUAAUAGACCGACUCUUGCCUGCAUCUGCUACUAUUACUCCACACAACGACUACUAUCCAGCAUUGCAUCUAGUGUAUUAAGUUCAUGGAAAAACGGAGUAAUGCAAUAAUAACGAUGACAUGAUGUAGACAAGAUCUAUUCAUGUAGGAAUAGACCCCAUCUUUUAUCCUUAAUGGCAACGAUACAUGCGUGUCAUGUCUCCUUCUGUCACUAAGAAUAAGCACCGCAAGAUCGAACCCAUCACAAAGCACCUCUUCCCAUUGCAAGAAAAAUCAAUCUAGUUGGCCAAACCAAACAAAGUUUCGGAGAAGAAAUACAAGUCUAUAAAGAUCAUACAUAAAAGUGUUCAGAGAAGACUCAAAUAAUAUUCAUAGAUAGAACUGAUCAUAAACUCACAAUUCAUCACAUCCCAACAAACACACCGCAAAAAGACAUUACAUCAAAUAGAUCUCCAGAAACAUCAAGAAGAACAUUGUAUUGAAGAUAAAAAAAGGCAUCUAGCUACUGCCUACGGACCAGUAGACCUGUGGGAAACUAAUCACGCAUCAUCGGGGGAGCACCAAUGAGGGUGAUGAACCCUUCCGUUAUUGUUUCCGCAGUCCGGCAAGGUGCCGGAAUAGGGCUCUAGAUUGAAUCUUGUGGUUCUGGAACUUGCGGCAUCUCGAAUUGUGUUUUGUCGACUCCCCUAGGGUUUAUGGAAUAUCUGAGUAUUUAUAGAGCAGAGAGGCGGUGGAAAAGAUCACUGUGGGCCCCUGUAAUGCCCUCGAUGCGGCUAUAUCUCCUACGUGUCGAAGCACGACUUAGAGGCAUAACUGCAUUGAAAGCAAUGUCGCAAGUAAGGUAAUCUUCACAGCAACCCAUGUAAAAAGAUAAUAGGGGGAAAGGAUACAUAGUUGGCUUACACUCGCCACGUCACACAAAUACAUGAAUAACAUUACAAUCAUCCAAUGCACUCAUGGUUCGACUACGGUACCAAAAUAAAAGAUCAACCCCAACAUGCGACACGGUCCCCGAUCGCCCCAACUGAGCACCACUACUGAUCAUCAGGGAAAGACACAUAGUAACGACGAGAGUCUUCGUCAAACUCCCACUUGAGCUCAAGCGCAUCGUCUGGAGCGGUAUCAUCGGUCCCUGCAUCUGGUUUGGAAGUAAUCUGUGAGUCACGGGGACUCAGCAAUCUCGCACCCUCGCAAUCAAGACUAUUUAAGCUUAUAGAAAAGGCAAGGUAAUAUGUGGAGCUGCAGCAAGCGACUAGCAUAUAUGGUGGCUAACCUGUUCGCAAAAGAGAGCGAGAAGAGAAGGCAAAGCACGAACAAAGAACUAUGAUCAAGAAGUGAUCCUAUAACAACCUACGUCAAGCAUUACUCCAAUACCGUGUUCACUUCCUGGACUCCGCCGAGAAGAGACCAUCAUGGUUACACACGCGGUUGAUUCAUUUUAAUUAAGUUAAGUUUCAUGUUAUCUACAACCGGACAUUAACAAAUUCCCAUCUGCCUAUAACCACGGGCACGGCUUUCGAAAGUUCAAAUCCCUGCAGGGGAGUCCCAACUUAGCCCAUCACAAGCUCUCACGGUCAACGAAGGAUAUUCCUUCUCCCGAGACAUUCCGAUCAGACUCGGCAUCCCGGUUCUACAAGACAUCCUCGACAAUGGUAAAACAAGUCCAGCAACACCGCCCGAAUGUGCCGACAAAUCCCGAUAGGAGCUGCACAUAUCUCGUUCUCAGGGCACACUCAGAUGAGACAUCCUACGAGUAAAACCACCCCUCAAGUUGCCCCGAGGUGGCCCCGCAGUCUACUCGGUCGGACCAACACUCAGAGGAGCACUGGCCCGGGGGGGGGGGGUUAAAUAAAGAUGACCCUUGAGUCUGCAGAACCCAAGGGAAAGAAAAGGCUAGGUGGCGAAUGGUAAAACCAAUGUUAGGCAUUGCUGGAGGAGUUUUAUUCAAGGCGAACUGUCAAGGGGUUCCCAUUAUAACCCAACCGCGUAAGGAACAUAAAAUCCGGGAACAUAACACCGAUAUGACGGAAACUAGGGCGGCAAGAGUGGAACAAAACACCAGGCAUAAGGCCGAGCCUUUCACCCUUUACCAAGUAUAUAGAUGCAUUAACUAGAUAAGAGAUAUUGUGAUAUCCCAACAAGUAAACAUGUUCCAACAAGGAACAACAUCUCCAUGUUCCAACAAGGAACCAACUUCAAUCUUCACCUGCAACUAACAACGCUAUAAGAGGGGUUGAGCAAAGCGGUAACAUAGCCAAACAAUGGUUUGCUAGGACAAGGUGGGUUAGAGGCUUGGUUCAACAAUAUAGGAGGCAUGAUAAGCAAGUGGUAGGUAUCGCGGCAUAGGCAUAGCAAAAGAGCGAGCAACUAGCAAGCAAAGAUAGAAGUGAUUUCGAGGGUAUGGUCAUCUUGCCUGAGAUCCUACAAGGAAGAAGAACGAGUCCAUGAAGAAGACAAACGGACGUAGUUGAACGAAUCCUCACAAACGCGACGUUAUCGGAACUAACCCGAAGAAGCAACACCGGAAAUAAGCAAACAACAUAGUAAACAACCACCACAUAGACAUGGCAUGAUGCACAAACAAGUAUGAUGCAUGUCCGGUUUAAAGAGGGCAUGUCAUGGCAAAGUGCACAAGCAAUCCUACAAAUUAAGUGGAGCUCAAUAUGCAACGAGUUGCAUAUUGACGGAACACCACAUGACUUAUUUAGUUCUCUCUUGUUUAGGUACCCAACAAAUUAAAUGUUGUCAACCAUGGCAAGGGGUGAAGCAUAAGUAAACUAACUAUCUAGUCAAGUUUAAAUGAGGCCGGAAAUAACAAACAACAAUUCCGGAAACUCCUCAUGUGCAUAUUUUAAGGUUUGGUACUGUUCUGCCCUAAACCAUGUUUUAGAGUUGUUAAACAUGCAAAGUAAGGCCACCAUGUUAAACUAGGAAUUUUUCUACCCUAUUUACAUAUAAAGUUUGUUAAGUUUGGAGCAACGGUUAUUUAGUUAUGAAAUAAAGCAUUUUAACAUGGCAUAGGAGCAAAUUUAACCAAGCAACAUUUUAAACAAGUCAAACAUUCAUGAAAGUUGCAAAUUAUUAAUCUACACAAAAUUCUAAGCAUUUUUCAUAAUUAGAUCAUUUUAAACCGAUGCAUGGUUAUUUAGUUAUUUAAUGCAUGAAGCUGAGGGGUUUUUCUGGAAAAACUACAGUUUUCUGGAUAAUGUUGAAUUCGCAGAGACUGGAAAAAAGACAUUCACGGGCGCAUCUAUAAACUGGGCUGCACAGAAGAGGAAUGAGGCGCUCAACACCUCGGGCCUUGAGGCCUUGGAGAGGCCGCAGCCCACGCGAGCAGGGGAGGCCACUCGGUCCAUGUGGAGGCAGAGGACGAGGGGAGCGGUCAACGCGGGCGCGGGCGAGCGGGACUUGGCGCUGUCCUCGCUUGGGGAGGCCGGGCGCUGACUCGCUGCUCCUCCCGCAGCGAGAUGAAGCAGGGGCGUGGCGCUUGGCGAAACGGGGGCAGCAGCGGCGGAUGGAGCUUCAACGGGCAGGCGAGGUGGAGGCCGCCGGGAGCGGAGCAGAACGGCGCGAGGCGGGACUUGGCAAGGCGGCGACCUGCGGGAUUCACCGGCGUCUGCACUUGCGGCAACAGGGCGACGCAGGCGCGGCAACAGGGAGGCCGGCGGGACUUACCGCAGCAGGACCGACCGGAGGAGGAACUUGGCGCAUCAGGGCUUCACGGGAGGGCAGAGGAGGACCCGACCCGUGGCCAGGGAUGCAGUAUCCGGUGAAGAACAACAGCGAACGGCAAUGACCGAGGACGGUGGCGCGACGCUCCACUUCUCCUGUGCUCGUGAACAGAGAGAGAGAGAUAAGAGAAAGAGCAGGGAGAUGGAUAAAAGAGAGAGGGGGAGGAAGGAGAGUGGGAUGGCCUGGUCGCCGGCAGCUCGAACCAGUGGCCGGACGGCGGGGCACGGAUGCCCGAGGAGCUCCUAGACAGGGGCUCGGGCGGCUGCAGGCGCGAGCAAGCGGGAGGCUCGCAGUUGAAGAGCUUGGGCAGGGGAAGGCAUCCAUGGGGGAUCGGGAGGAGCUCGGGCAUAGAGAGAGCGUCGGGCUCCAGAUCGAUGCGAGGAAGGGGCGGCCUUGGGGGUGGUUGCAGGAGGGGGGUGGUUGGUUGGUUGGAUCGAUGGAGGGAUUGGGUGGAUCGGGAUGGAUCCCGAGGAAGGAGAGGAGUGGAUGACUGGCGGCGGCGCGAUGGGACAACGGGCUAGAUUUUAGGGUUGCUGCCUAGGGGAUUGGUCUAUAUAUAUAGCACUGGAUUUUGGUUAGGGGCUAUUUCGUGCCUCCGAUCGAAAUCGGACGGUCGGAAAAAAAUAGGCUAGGGAGUCCAAUAAAUAAAACAAUGAUAUUUUGUAGAUGUUUGGGGAUGUUCCGGACCCAACGGUGACGACUCCCCGGGUUGGGUUCGGGACAACUUCCGGGCGCGCGCGAGGAGGACCGCGAGCUGACGAGAGAGAUUAGGUUGGGCCUGACGGUGGUAGUGGACUGUGAAGAAGGCCUCAGACUGAGAAAAGAGAAGAGCGAAAGGCCCGGCGACUGUUUUCGGAGACCGAAAACGUCCGACGAUUGGCCGGCUAUACUGCCGCUAUAGUUUAACGGUUGGGCUAUCAAACGAACUCCAAACGCGAUGAAAUUUGACAGGCGGUCUUCCUACACUAAAAUAAGACCGCACGCCAACUUUCAUCCCAUUCCGAGAACAUUUUCUGGCCACUUAUGAAAUAAUAUUUCGGACAUGCCGCGGGCACGUGCAAGUGUGGCUGGGCUCAGAACAGACAACAAAAGGAACUGGGGGAACCCAGACGAAUGCAGGUUUUGAAAACAUGAUGAUGCAAUGCACAUGAUGACAUGAUAUGGAAUGCAUGACACGCAAGCAAAAUAUAAGGCAACAAUAGCGAAUAACUGGAAGACACCUGGCACAUCGGUCUCGGGGCGCUACAGCCCCACAGGGCACCAGAGAGCGCUUGGGGCCUCUAGCGCGCCCUAGUGUAUUGUGGGCCCCUCGGGCCUCCUCUGGUACACCUCCUGGGCUCCAUGGGUCUCUUAUGGGCAGAAAAAAAUCUCCAAAAAGUUUCGCUGCAUUUGGACUUCGUUUGAUAUGGAUUUUCUGCGAAGUAAGAAACAAGCAAAAAACAACAACUAGCACUUGGCACUGAUACGUCUCCAACGUAUCUACUUUUCCUAAUGCUUUUCCUCUUGUUUUGGACUCUAAUUUGCAUGAUUUGAAUGAAACUAACCCCGAGCUGACGUUAUUUUCAGCAGAACUACCAUGGUGUUGUUUUUGUGCAGAAAUAAAAGUUCUCAGAAUGGAACGAAACUUUGCGAGGAUUUUUUAUAUAAAUAAAGAGAAUUUCUGGAGCCAAGAUCCACCGGAGGGGGGCACCUGGGUGGGCACAACCCAUCAGGGGGGCCCAACCUGGUGCACCCAGGUGGGUUGUCCCCACCUGGUGGCCCCGCAGACCUCAACCUUGAUACUGUAAAAUCACAUAUUUGGAGAAAACAACCAAGGAGAAAGAAUUAUCGUGAUCCGCGAGACGGAGCCGCUGUCACAUCCUGUUCUUCAUCGGGAGGCCAGAUCCGGAGUCCGUUUGGGGCUCUGGAGAGGGGGAUCUUCAUUCUUCGUCAUCACCAACCCUUCUCCAUCGCCAAUUCCAUGAUGCUCCCCACCGGGAGUGAGUAAUUCCUUCGUAGGCUCGCUGGUCGGUGAGGAGUUGGAUGAGAUUCAUCAUGUAAUUGAAUUAGUUUUUUUAGGGUUUGAUCCCUAGUAUCCACUAUGUUCUAAGAUUGAUGUUGAUAUGACUUUGCCAUGCUUAAUGCUUGUCACUUUGGGCCCGGGUGCCAUGAUUUCAGAUCUGAACCAUUUAUGUUAUCACCAUUAUAUCCAUGUUCUAGAUCCGAUCUUGCAAGUUAUAGUCACCUACUACGUGUUAUGAUCCGGCAACCCUGGAGUGACAAUAGUCGGGACCACUCCCGGUGAUGACCGUAGUUUGAGGAGUUCAUGUAUUCACUAUAUGUUAAUGCUUUGUUCUGGUUCUCUAUUAAAAGGAGGCCUUAAUAUCCCUUAGUUUCCAUUUGGACCCCGCUACCACGGGAGGGUAGGAAAAAAGAUGUCAUGCAAGUUCUUUCCAUAAGCACGUAUGACUAUUUACGGAAUACAUGCCUACAUUAUAUUGAUGGACUGGAGCUAGUGUCGUAUUGCCCUAGGUUAUAACUAUCUCAUGAUGAAUAUCAUCCAACAAGUCACUGAUCCAAUGCCUACGAAUUUAUCCUAUAUUGUUCUUGCUAAGUUACUACUACUAUCAUUACUGUUGCACUUGCUACAAAAUUAUUGAUAACACUGUUACCGUACCAUUGAUGCUACUACUAUUAUCAAAACUAUCAUAUUACUUUGCUACUGAUCGCGUUGUUGUAGAUAAUUAAUCUCCAGGUGUGGUUGAAUUGACAACUCAGCUGCUAAUACCUUCAAAUAUUCUUUGGCUCCCCUUGUGUCGAAUCUAUAAAUUUGGGUUGAAUACUCUACCCUCGAAAACUGUUGCGAUCCCCUAUACUUGUGAGUUAUCAAGACCUUUUUCUGGCACCGUUGCUGGGGAGCAUAGCUAUAUUUGUUGAGUCACUUGGGAUUAUUAUCAAUUUAUUACUAUGAAGAAUCUGAAGGAUGCUAAGACUAAAAUUUAUCCCUCUAAGACGAGGGGAGGUAAGGAACUGCCAUCCAGUUCUGCUUUAGAUUCACAUUCUGUUAUAAGUAAACUUGCAACACCACCACAUGCUAUUAAUCCUGAUAUGUCACAAGUUAUUGAUGAUGCUACUUCUUCUAUGAAUGAUACUUAUGAUGAUGAUAGUACCUUGCUUGAUGAUAAUGAUGUGCCACUUGGUGACUUUCUUGAUGAACAAAUUGCUAGAGUAAUACAACAUCAUGUUGUUGAAUCUGAUGAUGAACUUGAAACUGAAACUCCUGAAACACCUACUAGAACUAGCCUUCCUAGAUAUGAAUUUCCUAGGGUACCAGAAGGCUAUGUUAUGAAUGAAGAGACAACUAGAGACAUUCUUGCUUGUAAAGAUAGAGAUAAUCUAGAGAAACUACUAUGCAAGUAUAAAGAAAAAUCUCUGAAUGCUAGAAUGCAAUAUGAUCCUAAGUUUGCUACUUCACCUAUCUUUAUUUAUGACAAGGAUUAUGAAUUCUCUAUCGACCCAGAGUUAAUUACUUUGGUUGAAUCUGCUCCUUUCCAUGGUUAUGAAACUGAAACUGUUGUGGCACAUCUUACUAAGUUGAAUGACAUAGCCACCCUUUUUACUCAUGAUGAGAAGACUCGUUAUUACUUUAUUCUCAAAUUAUUUCCGUUCUCAUUAAAGGGUGAUGCUAAAGCUUGGUACAAUACUCUUGCUCCUGGUUGUGUGCGUAGUCCCCGGGAUAUGAUUUAUUACUUCUCUGAAAAAUAUUUCCUUGCUCAUAAGAAACAAGCUGCUUUACAUGAAAUAUUUAACUUUGUGCAAAUUAAAGAAGAGAGUCUCCCACAAGCUUGGGGGAGGCUUUGCCAGUUACUUAAUGCUUUGCCUGAUCAUCCUCUUAAGAAAAAUGAAAUACUUGAUAUCUUCUAUAAUGGACUAACCGAUGCUUCUAGGGAUUUCCUAGAUAGUUGUGCUGGUUGUGUUCUCAGGGAAUGAACUGUUGGGCAAGCUGAAGAAUUAUUGAAUAACAUAUUGAAAAAUUAUGAUGAUUGGACUCUUCCUGAACCACUGGCUAAACCCACUUCGAAGAAGACGGGUAUAUUAUAUCUCAGUCCUGAAGAUGUGCAAGAGGCAAAUAAAUCUAUGAAGGAAAAAGGUAUUAAAGCCGAGAAUGUUAAAAAUUUACCUCCUAUUGAAGAAAUACAUGGGCUUAAUACACCACCACCUCCUAAGGUGGUAGAGGUAAAUUCUCUUAUGAAGUUCAAUGAUAAUGACAAUCCUCACAAUAUGCACCCUAGCCAAUGCCUUUAUGAGUUUGAAAACUACAUUAGAAAACAAGAUCACUUCAAUGCAAAUGUUAUGAAACAAUUUGAAAGAUCGUGGAUGCCGCCUAGAGAGGGGUGAAUAGGCGCUUUAAAAUAAUUACGGUUGAGGCUUGAACAAAUGCGGAAUAAACCUAGCAGUUAAUUUGACAAGCACAAAACCUAAAACAACUAGGCUCACCUAUGUGCACCAAUAACUUAAGUUAAGCAAGAUAAGCAACUAUGUGAUAGCAAGAUAUAUGACAAGAAACAAUAUGACUAUCACAAAGUAAAGUGCAUAAGUAAAAGGGCUCGGGUAAGAGAUAACCGAGGCACGUGGAGACGAUGAUGUAUCCCGAAGUUCACACCCUUGCGGAUGCUAAUCUCCGUUUGGAGCGGUGUGGAGGCACAAUGCUCCCCAAGAAGCCACUAGGGCCACCGUAAUCUCCUCACGCCCUCGCAUAAUGCAAGAUGUCGUGAUUCCACUAAGGGACCCUUGAGGGCGAUCACCGAACCCGUACAAAUGGCAACCCUUGACGGUGGUCACCGAACCCGUACACUUUGGCAACCCUUGGGGGCGGUCAUCGGUACCCGUCAAAUUGCUCGGGGUGAUCUCCACAACCUAAUUGGAGACCCCGACGCUUGCCCGAAGCUUUACACCACAAUGAUUGAGCUCCGAACACCAACAACCGUCUAGGGCACCCAAGCACCCAAGAGGAACAAGCUCAAGGGUACCAAGCACCCAAGAGUAGUAAGCUUCUCAACUUGUAACUUCCAUGUAUCACCUUGGAGAACUCAAACCGAUGCACCAGAUGCAAUGGCAAGGGCACACGGAGUGCCCAAGUCCUUCUCUCUCAAAUCCCACCGAAGCAACUAAUGCUAGGGAGGAAAAUGAGAGGAAGAACAAGAAGGAGAACACCGAGAACUCCAAGAUCUAGAUCCAAGGGGUUCCCCUCACAUAGAGGAGAAAGUGUUUGGUGGAAAUGUGGAUCUAGAUCUCCUCUCUCUUUUCCCUCAAAAACUAGCAAGAAUCCAUGGAGGGAUUGAGAGUUAGCAAGCUCGAAGAAGGUCAACAAUGGGGGAAGAACACGAGCUCAAAGGAUAAGGUUCAUUGGGGAAGAAGACCCCCUUUUAUAGGAGGGGGAAAAUCCAACCGUUAUGUGCUCAGCCCGCACACGAGCGGUACUACCGCUUGGGCGGAAGAAGCAGGGAAAAGGAGCAACAAAACAUGAACCUUGGGGCGGUAGUACCGCAUAUAAGCGGUACUACUGCUCACCCCAGCGGUACUACCGCUGGAGGAGCAGAACACGGGACCAAAAGAGGCAGGGCAGAGCAGAGUACGGCGGCAAUAAUGCAGUAGCGGUACUACCGCCCGACCGGAGCAGUACUACCGCUUAUAGGAGCAACUACCGUGCCUUACUUCCGUGCAACUACUGCUAAACCCGACACGAAAAGUGCAGGACCCAAAAUCGAGGCGGUAGUAGAGCGGUACUGGAGCGGUACUACGGCUUGACGCUAUAAGCGGUACUACCGCUGCUGACCGCGGUACUACCGCAAGGAGAAAACCAGAACUGCCAUAACUUCUUCAUAAGAGCUCCGAAUUGAGCAAACUCAAGCUUGUUGGAAACAAGACGACGAGUAGCAUCAAAAUAGCGAGAAGAACCGGCAAAACCUCCAACAUUGAAAACAUCAUAGAAGACACGAGUGAACUCCGUUUUCGAUGAACUCGAGCUUGUCACCAAGAUGACCAUAAGCUCCAAAACUCACAAAGAGAAGAACCAAACAAGAACCAAAAAAGAUGAUGCAAGGAUGCAAUGGUUUGAGCUCUCUACAAACGUUACGAUCAAGCUACUCAUCAAGAGCCCCCCCUUGAAAGUACGGCAAUCGAUCCUAUAACCCGGUCUCCCAACUACCACUACGAGACCGGCAAAAUAGAAAACCUAUCAAGGGCAAACCUUUGUCUUGCACAUAGUCCACUUGAGCUAGAUGAUGACGAUCUUGACUUCCUCAAGUUGGACCACCUUUCUUGAUUGCGUUGGCUUGAUGAAGACUAGUAGAUUGCUCCCCCAUACUCCACUAUGGGUGAGCAACUCUUCUGCACAUCUUCACAAGUCCAUUGUCACCACAAUGGAUGGCAAGCUUCAAGCACUUGAUCUCUUCGUGAUGCAUCACUUGAACUUGCACACGACAACCUAACCCCACACAGAACUCUCACAAAGACCAUGGGUUAGUACACAAAGCGUAAUUGACAAUGCUUAAUAUACCAUGGGAUCACUUGAUCCCUCUCGGUACAUCUUCUGCGCUUUGUGAGUUGAUCAACUUGAUUCACUCUUGACUUAGUCUUGAUCAACCUUGAACCUUUCCAAUUCUCUUCAUUUGGAUGAUGUCUUGAAGGUAGACAUGAAUGAUCACACAAUCUUCUUCUUCAAGACAUGCUUGCAAUAAGCUCAACUCUCACAUGACCAAUCUUUGGAUAAUUCCUUGAAUAACACCUUGGUCGACACAAACUCUCCUUAAAACCAACACAUGUACUCCAAGAAAAGCCUAUGGACAAAACCUUAAAAUAUAACUCAAGGCAAUCAUUACUCCAUCGAGAUUGUCAUCAAUUACCAAAACCAAACAUGGGGGCACCACAUGUUCUUUCACAAUUGAAAUAUAAUUCUGAUAUGAUUGCUCGCUUGAGUGACUUGUUAUUUAGAAUCUUAAAUGAUGUUAGAGGUGUUGGAACUCAACAUGGUUGUGAACACUCACCUUCUGAUAAUGAAAAGUUAAUGAUGAGGUUCCUAAAGAUAGUCAACCAAAUAGUAAAGAACCAGACAAUGAUGUUGAGAUAGAACCACUAGUUGAUCUUGAUAACCCACAACCUAAGAAUAAAAGAUAUGAUAAAAGAGACUUCAUUGCUAGAAAACAUGGUAAAGAAAGAGAACCGUGGGUUCAAAAACCUAUUCCCUUUCCACCUAAGUCAACUAAAAAUAAAGAUGAUGGAGAAUUUGAACGCUUUGCUGAAAUGCCGAGGCCAUUCUUUUUGCGUACCCGCUUGACUGAUAUCUUGAAAAUGCCUCCUUAUGCAAAGUAUAUGAAAGAAAUCAUCACUAAUAAGAGAAAAAUACCAGAGCUGAAAUCUCCACCAUGCAUGCUAAUUAUACUUUUAAGGAUGGAGUACCUAAAAAACUUGGAGAUCCGGGAAUACCAACUAUACCUUGCUCUAUCAAAAAGAAUUAUGUGAGAACUGCUUUAUGUGAUUUAGGAGCUGGUGUUAGUGUUAUGCAUUUAUCUUUAUAUAAAAGACUUGAUUUGAAUAAACUCACUCCUACUGAAAUAUCUUUGCAAAUGGCUGACAAAUCAACUGCCAAACCUAUCGGUAUCUGUGAGGAUGUGCCUGUUGUUGUUGCUAAUGUUACUAUUUUGACUGACUUUGUUAUACUUGAGAUGCUCGAGGACGACAACAUGUCAGUUAUCCUUAGUAGACCCUUCUUGAAUACUGCAGGGGCUGUUAUUGAUUGCAAUAAAAGCAAGGUCACAUUUCAUACCAAUGGUAAUUAGCAUAUGGUGCACUUUCCGAAGAAACAAUUCCAAGUGAAUGGUAUUAAUGUUAUUGAAAAAAUCUCCGACAAUCACUAUUGGAAGUUUUGAAAUACCUCUACCUACUACCAAAAAGAAAUAUGAAUUGCUUAUUGUUGGGGACAUUCAUAUCCCCGUUGAGGUAACUUAGUGAUUUAUGAAAGUUCUUCGGUUUCAUGCUAAUCGAAAGUGGUUGUUAAUAAGACUUGAUCAACCUUAUUAAUGGAUCAUUUUUAAGAGGUAUGAAGUUGAUGAAUUUAGUAAGCACUACCUUUUGUCCCUACCUUUUGUUUUCUGUCUUUAUUAGUUAAAUAAAAUAAAAUGCCAUGUUUUGUCUGUUUUCUGAAUUUUCCGUGCAAUAAAAAAUGACCCAAAAAUAGAAGUUCUCGGAAUGCCUUGAAAAUUUAAUACGAUUUUUUCUUCCGAAUAUUUAAGAAUUUUUGGUGCAAAUAAUAUCAGAGGGAGGUGCACCAGGUGGACACAACCCACCUGGGUGCGCCAGGACCCCCAAGCGUGCCCUGGUGGGUUGUGGUCCCCACGUGGCCCCUCUCACUUAUCUCUUUACACCAAAUCAUCACCUAUCUCCAGAAAAACUUCCCCAUUGCUCUCUCUCUCGUGUUCUUGCUCUCAAACCCGUGGAUUUCGAUCUCUUUGCUUGAAGCUUCAUUUCCGAAAUUGUUUCAGGGGAUUGUUGCUUGGUAUGUGAUACAUCUCCAACGUAUCUAUAAUUUUUGAUUGUUCCAUGCUAUUAUAUUAUCUGUUUUGGAUGUUUAAUGGGCUUUAUUAUGCACUUUUGUAUUAUUUUUGGGACUAACCUAUUAACCGAAGGCCCAGUGCAAAUUGCUGUUUUUUUGCCUAUUUCAGUGUUUCACAGAAAAGGAAUAUCAAACGGAAUCCAAAUGGAAUGAAACCUUCGCGAGGAUCUUUUUUUUUGGAACAAACGCAAUCCAGGAGACUUGGAGUGGAGGUCAAGGAAGCAACAAGGCGGCCACAAGGUAGGGCGGCGUGCCCAAGGGGGCAGGCACGCCCCCACCCUCAUGGGCCCCUCGUAGCUCCACCGACCUACUUCCUUCGCCUAUAUAUACUCUUAUACCCUAAAAACAUCUAGGAGAGCCACGAAACCACUUUUCCACUGUCGCAACCUUCUGUACCCAUGAGAUCCCAUCUGGGGACCUUUUCCAGCAAUCUGCCGGAGGGGGAUUCGAUCACGGAGGGCUUCUACAUCAACACCAUAGCCUCUCCGAUGAUGUGUGACUAGUUUACCACAGACCUUUGGGUCCAUAGUUAUUAGCUAGAUGGCUUCUUCUCUCUCUUUGGAUCUCAAUACAAAGUUCUCCUCAAUGUUCUUGGAGAUCUAUUCAAUGUAAUUCUUUUUGCAGUGUGUUUGUCGAGAUCCGAUGAAUUGUGGGUUUAUGAUCAAGUUUAUCUAUGAAAAAUAUUUGAUUCUUCUCUGAAUUCAUGAUUUGAUAUCUUUGCAAGUCUCUUCAAAUUAUCAGUUUGGUUUGGCCUACUAGAUUGAUCUUUCUUGCAAUGGGAGAAGUGCUUAGCUUUGGGUUCAAUCCUGCGGCGCUCGAUCCCAGUGACACAAAGGGAACCGACAUGUAUUGUAUUGUUUCCAUCGAGGAUAAAAAGAUGGGGUUUAUAUCAUAUUGCUUGAGUUUAUCCCUCUACAUCAUGUUAUCUUGCCUAAUGCGUUACUAUGUUCUUAUGAACUUAAUACUCUAGAUGCAUGCUGGAUAGUGGUCGAUGUGUGGAGUAAUAGUAGUAGAUGCAGAAUCGUUUCGGUCUACUUGACACGGACGUGAUGCCUAUGUUUAUGAUCAUGCCUAGAUAUUCUCAUAACUAUGCACUUUUCUAUCAAUUGCUCGACAGUAAUUUGUUCACCCACCGUAAUAUAUGCUAUCUUGAGAGAUGCCACUAGUGAAACCUAUGGCCCCCGGGUCUACUUUACAUCAUAUAAGUUUCUGAUCUACAAUUCUAGUUUAUUAUUUAUUUUGCAAUCUUUAUUUUCCAAUCUAUACAACAAAAAUACCAAAAAUAUUUAUCUUAUAAUCUUUAUCAGAUCUCACUUUCGAAAGUGACCGUGAAGGGAUUGACAACCCCUUUAUCGCGUUGGUUGCGAGGUUCUUGUUUGUUUGUGCAGGUACUAGGAGACUUGCGUGUAGUCUCCUACUGGAUUGAUACCUUGGUUCUCAAAAGCUAAGGGAAAUACUUACGCUACUUUGCUGCAUCACCCUUUCCUCUUGAAGGGAAAACCUACGCAUGCUCAAGAGGUAGCAAGAAGGAUUUCUGGCGCCGUUGCCGGGGAGAUUUGCACCAAGUCAAGUCAAGAUUUGAUCUCCCGUCAACUAGCCAUUUCUGACGCCGUUGCUGGAGAGAUCUACGCUCAAGUCAAGACAUACCAAGUACCCUUCACAAACUCUUAUCCCUCGCAUUACAUUAUUUGUCAUUUGCCUCUCGUUUUCCUCUCCCCCACUUCACCUUUGCCGUUUUAUUCGCCCUUUUUCCGUUCGUCUCUUUUCACUUGCCUCUUGUGUGUCCAUGUGUUAGAUCAUUUAUUUGCCCUCAUGGCUAGUUCUCCUAUCAUUAUUAACACUCCCGAUAAUGAAGUUCUUAAUUUUAAACAAAGGGAGGGAGAAAACUUAAAAGUUGCUUGGUAUAGAAUUUGCAAUGCUCAAAAUAGAUAUAUUAAAAGGCAAUCUACUUCCGUUCUUCUCCGCAAUUUUUACGUAGGCAUCACUCCUUGGUAUAGAUAUGUUCUUGACACCAUCACUGGAGGGAAUUUCUUGGGAAGCUAUACUUUUGAUUCUUAUAAUGCUAUGAUAGAUUUGUUAGGCCCACCACCUCUUUUGGUCAAUGGAACUAUUUUAACUUUGGAACAUGUGAUGCAAAGGCUUGAAAUUAUUGAAAAUAAGAUUUCCACUGUAGAGUUAAUUGAAAAUUUGGAUAAAAAGAUCCACAACCAAAUUACUCAAUAUGGAUCUAAGUUAGGAGUUACUCUGAAAAAUCUUAAGGAAAAGGAAUCCAUAGUCAAUGAAAAGAUAGAUCAAGAUUCCACUAGAAUUGAUAAACUCGAAGAAAUUAUUACCAACUUGGGGUCCGCUUUUUCUGCCAUUAAAAACACCUCAAAUCCCCCUCCUACCAAAGUUGACAAAUUUAUCUAUGUUCCUAAAAAUAAGGGUGAAUCUUCUAGUAAGAAAAAUGAAGAUCUCAAGUCAAUAAGUGUUCACCCCAACUUUUUAGAUAUCGUUAAGGAACCUUUUGCUACAAAUGAAUUUCUUGAUUUCCUACCUAGGAGUUUGAUCAUUUGCAAAAACAAAGAACCUCCUAAGGGUUAUAAGUGUUCAAUUGAAGAAUUGCCUACCAAAGAUGACAAUACCUAGAUCUAUUAUUGUUUUUAUGCCUAGCUAGGGGUGUUAAACGAUAGCGCUUGUUGGGAGGCAACCCAAUUUUAUUUUUCCUCCUUCUUUUUGUUUCUGUUUAGUAAUAAAUAAAUCAUAUAUCCUCUGUUAUGAUUGUGUUUUUAUGUUUUUGUUAGUGUUUGUGCCAAGUAAAGCCUUUAGGAUCUUCUUGGGUGAUUGUUAUUUGUUCUUGCUGGAAAAAAACAAAAAGUAUGCACUCAUGAGAAUAAUUUUCAUUUUUAACCAGAGAGCGAUAAAAUACCAAUUCCAACUGCAGUAGAUCAAUAUACAAAUUAUUUAGGACGUCCUAAUUUCUCAGGAUUACUACAGACUGUUCUGUUUUUGACAGAUUCUGUUCUUCGUGUGUUGUUUGUUUUUUUUUGAUGAAUCUAUGGCUAGUAUCGGGGAUAUGAACCAUAGAGAAGUUGGAGUACAGUAGGUUUAACACCAACAUAAAUAAAGAAUGAGUUCAUUAUAGUACAUUAAAGUGGUGAUUUGUUUUCUUAUACUAAUGGAGCUCAUGAGAUUUUCUGUUGAGUUUUGUGUUGUGAAGUUUUCAAGUUUUUGGGUAAAGAUUUGAUGGAUUUUGGAACAAAGAGUGGCAAGAGCCUAAGCUUGGGGAUGCCCAAGGCACCCCAAGGUAAAAUACAAGGACAGACAAAAGACUAAGCUUGGGGAUGCCCCGGAAGGCAUCCCCUCUUUCGUCUUCAUCUAUCGGUAACUUUACUUGAGGCUAUAUUUUUAUUCACCACAUGAUAUGUGUUUUUCUUGGAGCGUCUUAUAUGAUUUGAGUCUUUGCUUUUUAGUUUACCAUAAUCAUCCUUGCUGCACACACCUUUUGGGAGAGACACACAUGAAUCGGAAUUUAUUAGAAUACUCUAUGUGCUUCACUUCUAUCUUUUAAGCUAGAUAAAUUUUGUUCUAGUGCUUCACUUAUAUCUUUUUAGAGCACGGUGGUGGUUUUAUUUUAUAUAAAUUAUUGACCUCUCAUGCUUCACUUAUAUUAUUUUGAGAGUCUUUUAGAACAACAUGGUAAUUUGCUUUGGCUAUAAAAUUAGUCCUAAUAUGAUAGGCAUCCAGGAUGGGUAUAAUAAAAACUUUCAUAUAGAGUGCAUUAAAUAUUAUUGUAGGAUCGAAAGUAUGUCUAGAAGGGGGGGUGAUUAGACUACUUGACCAAAUAAAAAUCUAGCCUUUUCCCAAUUUUAAUUCUUGGCAGAUUUUAGCAACUUAGCACAAGUCAAGAAAACAACCUACACAUGCAAUUCUAAGAGUAUAGCAGCGGAAUGUAAAACAAUUGCAUAUGAAGGUAAAGGGAGGAGUUUGGAGGGAGCAAACGCAAUGUAGACACGGAGAUUUUUUGUGUGGUUCCGAUAGGUGGUGCUAUCGUACAUCCAUGUUGAUGGAGACUUCAACCCACGAAGGGUAACGGUUGCGCGAGUCCACGGAGGGCUCCACCCACGAAGGGUCCACGAAGAAGCAACCUUGUCUAUCCCACCAUGGCCAUCGCCCACGAAGGACUUGCCUCACUAGGGUAGAUCUUCAUGAAUUAGGCGAUCUCCUUGCCCAUACAAACUCCUUGGUUCAACUCCACAAUCUUGACGGAGGCUCCCAAGUGACACCUAACCAAUCUAGGAGACACCACUCUCCAAGAGGUAAAAAUGGUGUGUUGAUGAUGAACUCCUUGCUCUUGUGCUUCAAAUGAUAGUCUCCCCAAUACUCAACUCUCUCUCAUAGGAUAGGAUUUGGUGGAAAGAUAAUUUGAGUGGAAAGCAACUUGGGGAAGGCUAGAGAUCAAGAUUUAUGUGGUUGAAAUGAAGUAUCUUGACCUCAACACAAGUGUAGGUGGUUCUCUCUCAGAAAAUGAAUGUUGGAAGUGUAGGCAUGUUCUGAUGGCUCUCUCCAUGAAUGAAGAGUGGGUGGAGGGGUAUAUAUAGCCUCCACACAAAAUCUAACCAUUACACACAAAUCACCAAACUCGGUGGGACCGAAUCAUACAACUCGGUUAGACCGAUUUAGUUCAUAAUGUGACCGUUAGGGUUUUCGGUGGGACCGACAUGUCAACUCGGUGGGACCAAUAUCAUUAGGGUUAGGGCAUAACAUGUUAUCGAUGAGACCGAUUACACAAACUCGGUGAGACCGAUUUUGGUAAUAGACUAACCAGAGAGUUGGUCAGGCAAUCUCGGUGGGACCGAUUCACUCUCUCGGUAGGACCAAAACGUUACGAAAGGGAAACAGAGAGUUUGCAUUGCAAUCUCGAUGGGGCCGAUCGCUCAUCUCGGUUGGACCGAAAUGUUACGAAGGGAAACAGAGAGAUUACAAUCCCAUCUCGGUGAGACCGAGAUCCCUAUUGGUGGGACCAAAAAGACUAGGGUUUGUGGUAGUGGCUAUGUCAAGUGAACUCGGUGGCGCCGGAUAGAUCAAAUCGGUGGGGCCGAGUUUGACUUUUAGUUGGGGAUAUAUUUGGAUAUGAGAAAGUGGUUGAGGGUUGUGGAGCAUAUCACUAAGCACUUUGAGCAAGAACCUCAUUAAGCAACACCUCAUCCCCUCUUAAUAGUAUUGGCUUUUCCUAUGUACUCAAUGUGAUCUUGGAUCACUAAAAAUGAAAUGUAGAGUCUUGUGCUUUGAGCUUGAGCCAAUCCUUUUGUCCUUGGCAUUUUGAGGAGUCCACUUUCUAAUCCAUGCUAUGCCAAUCAUUGAGCUUUUCCUGAAAUAUUUAUCUUCAAGUAGCAUUAGCUCAAUGAGGUAUAUGUUGUUAGGAAUUACUAAAACCACCCAGGGAUAGUUGCACUUUCAAUCUCCCCCUUUUUGGUAAUUGAUGACAACAUAUAGAUCAAAGCUUCGACAAAUGAUUAUAAGAUUGAAAAACAUUGUCGCUUUGAGAAGUAUGUGAUAAGCAAGAGCUCCCCCUAAAUUUGUGCAUUAUUUAAAAUCUGCUUUUGAAUGCAAAUGCACAAUCGAUUAGGGUUACUCUUCCAUGUCACAUACAUCUUGGUGGAGUGCUCAAAAUGAUAGAAAUUAAAAGCAUGCACUCAUCACCAAGCAAGUGAAUGAUCAUAUAUGGAAUAUAAAGGAUAGCAUCAUUCAACCAAACAUUAAGGUAGCAUAUGAUCAACCACAUGAUCAUAUAAGUAUCUCACAAGGACAUAAAGUAUCUCACACAAGCACACAAUAAAGUAGUUCAACAAAAAUAGCAAGAGAGAUAAAAAGCAAGACACUCUGUCUCGAAGCCUAUGAUCUAUACAUAUUUCUCCCCCAUUGGCAACAAGUUACCAAAAAGUUUAAAAAUGCAUAGUGCUAUACGUCUCUCAGGCUUGGUCUUCGGGAGGUGGUGUAGAUAGAACUCCAAGGACGAAGGCUUCCGAUGAAGUAGUUGGAUCUGAUGGAGUGAGUGCUGGAGGUGGCACUGGAGCUGUAGCUGCUGGUGCUGACACUGAAGCUCUAGCAUCUGAGACUGGCACUGUAGCAGACCUUGGACCUCAUGGCACACACUUAAAAGCAUCAGUGGUUGCUUUUCCUCUCCUCUUCUCUGCUUCCUCCUGAAGCUGCUCAACUGCAGUCUGAAUCUCAGUCACCUUUAGAUCAAGAUCAUAGAAUUUUGUUUCCACAAUCCUCUCGAGGCUCUCCUGAUUCUGAGUCAGUGUGGCCAAGCCCUUCUCAAUCCUCGGUGUAGCUUGAAUCAUAUAGCCUAACUGAUCUUGCUUGCUCUUCAGGAAGACUCGAGAUGCCUCUUCAACACUUGGCAUCUGGGUAGCUUUCUCAGCCUUUUCCUUGGCUCUCUUCUCCUGGACUUGAGCUGAUGAUGGUUCUUCCUCAUUCAUCACAAUAGUGUUGUCUUCAAACUCAGGAUAUAGAGGUAGAUGCUCCUUGUCCAGCAGGUAAGUCCAUGUGCCCAUUUUAGAGUUGAUGAGCUCCUGAAUGUGUGGAGCAUAUCCGCAGCUCCUUUUUUGAUCAGCAUCAGUCCUUUUGAUUGUUUCUACAAUCAAGCUCAUAACUUUGAACUUCUGGGGGACAUAAAAAAUUUGUAACUGUGGACUGGUACCUAGUACCCUCGGACAUCCAAACUAUCCUACCAUCUGGAUAGAAGUGGGCAGUGGUGUAGAACUGCAUGAUCAACUCAUCAUUCCAUUUGGUGAGCUUUUGUCCAACGAAUUCAUCUACUCCACAAGCCUUAAAGUUGUCAUACACUCCAGGGAAGUGAUCUUCAUUUUCCCGGAUGAACUCCCAGUCCACCCAUUUCAUGUCACACACUAUGGGCUUCUUGUCAAGCAGAAUGGUCUCAUAGAAAUCUUGUUGUUCCUUUGUGUGGAACCUGUAGUCAACUGCAGUCCUCCUCCCAACAGCAUAGGGAUCAGACUGUCUCCACAACCUCAGUCCUGCAUCUUUCCCGAUGUGCAUGUCCUCAGCGACUGGGUGAGCAUCAUUUUGGUUAGGAAUUUUGGGCUUCAACUUCCUCAAAACAAGAGAAUGAUCAUCUUCUUCUUCAGCUUCAAGCACUGGGGCCUUGUUCUUCUCCUCAGCAGUUAUACUCCUGGUGUUCCUCUUGUGUUUUGGGGGUUUCUGAGCAGCAGCCUUGGGAGCAGAUUUGGGCUUAGAUGGAGCAGCCCCUGACUUGAUUGCAUCUCCCAUGAUUUUCUGAGCCUUAGGAGCUGGUGCAGCAUCCUCUUCCUCCUCCUCUUCUUCUGAAUCUCUCAUAAUGGAGGAUCUACCAAGUACUCUAGGAGUGGUAUUCUUGACCCUUUCUUUUCUUUUCUUUCCUUCUCCAACUGCCUCUUCAGUUGGCUUGGAGGUUUCAGUAGUUGAGGCUCUGGCCUUUGACAUGGGAAUUCUCUUUGCUGGAGCCUUCUUGUGCAUCCCUGGCUUUGUUGUAGCAGCUAAGCCAUACUCUUUCUUCAGCACCUUUUUCUUGGAGCUAACUUCUUCCUCAACAGCCACAUAAUCCUCAUCCUCAGAAUCUGAGGUCUUCUUCUUCCUUGUUCUGGUGGCUGCCUUGGGCAAGUUGCUUGGUGUGCUCCUGCUACCCUCAUCAGAAGUGCUAGAGGGACUAGUGCCCUCACUCAUAUGAACCUGCUCCUCAGACUUGUUCUGGCUGUCACUUUGAUCUGACAUCUUGCAGGCAAACUGUCAGCAGACCCUGUGAAUAGAUUGUAGAUGAGGUAGAGUAGAUGAGAAUCACAAAGUGCAGAAUUUUUGCAAAAUAGAUGAUUUAAAAACUUAGUUUUAGUUCUUCACAGAAAGCAUUUCGGAUCUACCGAUUUGUAAACUCGGUGAUACCGAAGCAGCUUUUGGAAUCUAAACUAGUGAACUCGGUCAGACCGAGUCACAGUUCGGUGGCACCGAGACUGCUAGGGUUUCACAAAGAAUCGAACUCGGUCACACCAAUUUGCAAUUUUUGGUUAGACCGAAAACGCAUGUGCAAUGGCGCAAGCCAAAUCGGUGAGACCGAUUUCUACAACUCGGUCGGUCCGAGAUGAGUUCGGCGGAGACCUACCCCUAAAUUUUCAAAUCAAAUCUAAUCUACGGGAUGCUUUCGCUGGACAGGAUGAUUUCAUACGUGGAAAGAAUAAUGGCAAAGCAAUGUGCUAUGAAUCGGAGUUAAGGAAUAGCACAAAUAUCAAGUUCAUACCCUACUUCGACGGUGAACUUGCUAGGAUGGCAACGGCGGGCAGAUUGCCGUUGAUGGCGGCGAAGACCAGCGGCGGGAAGUCGCUGGCGGCGAGAGGACGAUCCAGAGACCCGAGGAGGCAGAGCAGGUCACACGCGGGUGAAAGGUUUCGGAAAAAAUUCCAAAAUUUGACCCGUCAGUAUAUAUAACCUGACCCUGUCGGUGUGACCGAGUGGAACAACUCGGUGGCACCGAGAUGCAGAACUGCAAGCGGUUACUGCAACUCGGUGUGACCGAAAAGUUCUAAUCGGUUGCACUGAGAUUGAAAACCUAGAUCAACUAAGUGAUCUCGGUGUGACCGAAAUGGAUGACUCGGUCAUACCGAAGUGCACAAAGAGGUUUUGGAAGUUUAAGUCUAUGACGAAUCGGGGACUUCGAGUGCUCCUCACACAGAGUGGUUCGAAUCUGACUUGAUCAAACUUUGUGAUGUAGCAUGAAUAUAGUUUGAGACGAGGAAAGCAUAGAUACCUAGAGGGAGUUCUUAGGCAUUCUUGUCCAUCCAGAGAAAAAAGCCAAACAAUCAAAGCAACAAAUGGAUGUCCUUGAAUAAGUAAAAUAUGCAACCAACAUGCUCAACAAUAAUAUGGCAAAAGAAAUAUGUGACAAAGCAUGCACAAACACUCUAGCAUCUAUCAAGCAAUUUGGCGAUGACUAGGUCAUUUAUAUAUGAGUAUAUUGGCUUAGGAGUCAAAUGAGAACAUUUGAUCAUAGGUCAUACUCAUCAUUUAAGCACAAGUGGGGUUGCCACUUUUACAUAAAGCAUUGUUGUGUUCACACCAAUAGAGUUGCUUUAGCUCAAUUGAUUAGAGUAAAGCUCCCCCUAGAUGUGAUAUCCCCCCUUAAGAGGGAUGAACUAACCUUGGGUUUUGUCGAUGAUGACUUCAUGUAGGUGUUGAAGAUGUAGAUGCUCAAUGUUGAUGUAGAUCCUUUGGAGCAAUCCUUUGAAGUGAGUUACACUUUCAAUACCUACACGGGUUAGUCCCACAAGGAACAAACAAGGAUAAACAUAGACAUAGCGUUAUAUUCACAUGAUAUGAUGUCCAUGAAUGCAUUAGGUUACCUUGUCCCUUGUCUUACCAACAAUAGGGUUUGUGACUCCUUGAACUAGUGCAAGAUAUGGAAGUUGUUUGCACUUGUCCUCGCCAAAAUGAUAUGAGUGAAGUGUGUUGGCGGAGUCACCCUCAAGAACUCUCUAAUUCUUCUUCUUCGGGAUCCACACCAUCUUCAUGGGAAUCCUUGGAGUUGUAGUCGUACCUGAUGAAGUAGAACUUGAUGUAGUCUUGGGAACCCACUUGACCAAGGCUUUGGGAGCUUCUUCAAAUGCAUCAAUCUCCUCUUGAAGCUUGUCCUUGCCUUUUUGCUUGUGGUCUUGUGGUGGAAGAUCAUCUUGAGCUUGUGUUCCUUGGAAAGAAGUAGGAUCACACUUCUCUUGUUGAGGAACAAACUUUGUCUUGGGGUAUUGAUCUUCUUCCCACUCAACUCCAUUGGCAUUAAACUUUCGUUCAAAACCAACACCUUGAUUCUUUCGGUGUCUUCCUUGCUUGCGUACAAUUUCCUCAAAUUGCUUACUUUCGGCAAGGCUCUUGUAAACACCUUUCUCUAUAAUUCCCUUCAAUAAGCUAUUUUCUUGCUCAAGUGUAACUUGGCUAAGAGAAUCACUAGUGGAAUUGGGAGAACUACUAGAAGCAACAUCAUUGGGUUUAGCAUGAUUAUCGUUACUACUAGAAGAAGAAUCUUUCUUACUCUUGUUGCUAGAUUUAACUUGUGGCAUGUAAGUAGACAAAAGUAAACACUUGGCAAUGUAAGAAGAACUUUUCUUGCGAAGAUCAUCAUUGAUAAUUUUUAAGAACCCAUGCUCUUGCUCAAGAUUGAGCUUUUCGAAGCGUAACUUCUCAUGAGUCUUUAAAAGCUCUCGAUGAUUUUCCAAGGUAGUUUCAUGAGCUAACUUAAGAGUGUUUAGCUCUUUAGUUAGAUGCUCAAUCUCCUUCUUAUCAUCAUCAUUCGUUUUGUCUUGAUUAGCAUGAUUAAUAUCAAGUUCAUCAAAGUUUCCAUCACUAGAAUUGUCAACAAGUAAAUCAUCAUCACCUAGCAAGUCAUCUUCAUCACUAUUGAAAUCAACAUACUCGGGGUGUGAUACCUUUGGGCCUUUAGCCAUGAAGCAUCUUCCAAUCCCUUCACUUGGUGACUCAAAUAUGUCGUAGGAGUUGGUUGACACAAGUGCUAGACCGGCCACACCUUCAUCUUGAGUAUAUUCGGAGUCGGAGUGAUAACUUCUCUCAGAGUGAUCGUCCGAGUCGGAGCCGGAUACCCAUUAACCAACGUGAGAUUGAAGUAUUCAUUUUGUGUAGCCCCUUGAUGAUUUGUCCUUCCUUUCCGAAUCCUUGCUUCUCCGUGAUGUUCUUCGUUCAUAAAGGUCAUCUCUACUCCUCUCUCUUGGUGGUGAUUCUUCUCUCCUACUCCUUCUUUUCGGAGAACCUUCUCUUCUUUUGUAGGGAGCCGUACACUCAUUGGAGUAGUGUCCGGGUCUUCCACCAUUGUAGCAAUUACGUUCAUGACUUGAAGAUCUUUUGUCAUUGUAGGAACUUGACUUGGAACUUCUUUCCUUGCUUCUACUCUUGUAGAACUUGUUGAAGUUCUUCACCAUUAGGCUCAAUUCUUCAUUGAAGUUUUGUUUCUCACUUGAUGAUGUGGGAGCAUCACAUGAGGCUUUGUAAGCACCACUUGACUUGUUGUGAAGCUCUUCCUUAUCCUUGAGUGACAUCUCAUGAGCAACAAUCCUUCCAAUGACUUCCGUUGGCUUGAGAUCUUUGUAAUUUGGCAUCAUUUGGAUCAAUGUGCACACGUAUCAUAUUUUCCAUCCAAGGCUCUUAGGAUCUUCUUGAUGAUGAAUCUAUCGGUCAUCUCUUCACUUCCUAAGCCGGCAAUCUCAUUUGUGAUGAGAGCAAGCCUAGAGUACAUUUCAGCGACACCUUCACCAUCCUUCAUUUUGAACUUGUCAAGUUGACUUUGAAGCACAUUCAAUUCGGAUUCCUUGAUGGAGUCGGUACCUUCGUGCAUAUCAAUCAAAGUAUCCCAAAUUUCCUUUGCAUUCUCAAGACGACUGAUUUUGUUGAAUUCUUCGGGGCACAUUCCGUUGAAGAGAAUAUCACAAGCUUGAGCAUUGUACUACAGCCUCUUCAACUCUUCCGCUCUAGCCUCACGGUUCGGUUCCCUCCCAUCAAAGAAUUCACCUUGCAAGCCAAUACACACAAUAUCCCAAACGGCGGGGUUAUGUCCAAGAAUAUGCAUUUUCAUCUUAUGCUUCCAACUAGCAAAAUUAGUACCAUCAAAAUAAGGACCUCUACGGUGGUAAUUUCCCUCACUAGACGCCAUACUCUCCUAGGUUGUGAAACCAAGGCUAUGAUUACCAAAGCUACAGAAAUCAAGGAAAAUGGAGACCAAAGCUCUGAUACCACUUGUAGGAUUGAAAGUGUGUCUAGAAGGGGGGUGAUUAGGCUACUUGACCAAAUAAAAAUCUAGCCUUUUCCCAAUUUUAAUUCUUGGCAGAUUUUAGCAACUUAGCACAAGUCAAGCAAACAACCUACACAUGCAAUUCUAAGAGUAUAGCAGCGGAAUGUAAAACAAUUGCAUAUGAAGGUAAAGGGAGGAGUUUGGAGGGAGAAAACGCAAUGUAGACACGGAGAUUUUUGGCGUCGUUCUGAUAGGUGGUGCUAUCGUACAUCCACGUUGAUGGAGACUUCAACCCACGAAGGGUAACGGUUGCGCGAGUCCAUGAAGGGCUCCACCCAUGAAGGGUCCACGAAGAAGCAACCUUGUCUAUCCCACCAUGGCCAUCGCCCACGAAGGACUUGCCUCACUAGGGUAGAUCUUCACGAAGUAGGCGAUCUCCUUGCCCAUAAAAACUCCUUGGUUCAACUCCACAAUCUUGACGGAGGCUCCCAAGUGACACCUAACCAAUCUAGGAGACACCACUCUCCAAGAGGUAACAAAUAGUGUGUUGAUGAUGAACUCCUUGCUCUUGUGCUUCAAAUGAUAGUCUCCCCAACACUCAACUCUCUCUCAUAGGAUAGGAUCUAGUGGAAAGAUGAUUUAAGUGGAAAGCAACUUGGGGAAGGCUAGAGAUCAAGAUUUAUGUGGUUGGAAUGAAGUAUCUUGACCUCAACACAAGUGUAGGUGGUUCUCUCUCAGAAAAUGUAUGUUGGAAGUGUAGGCAUGUUCUGAUGGCUCUCUCCACGAAUGAAGAGUGGGUGGAGGGGUAUAUAUAGCCUCCACACAAAAUCUAACCGUUACACACAAAUAACCAAACUCGAUGGGACCGAAUCAUACAACUCGGUCAGACCGAUUUAGUUCAUAAUGUGACCAUUAGGGUUUUCGGUGGGACCGACAUGUCGACUCGGUGGGACCGAUAUCAUUAGGGUUAGGGCAUAAUAUCUCGGUGAGACCGAUUACACAAACUCGGUGAGACCGAUUUUGGUAAUAGACUAACCAGAGAGUUGGUCAGGCAAUCUCGAUGGGACCGAUUCGCUCUCUUGGUAGGACCGAAACAUUAUGAAAGGGAAACAGAGAGUUUGCAUUGCAAUCUCAGUGGGACCGAUCACUCAUCUCGAUUGGACCGAAACGCUACGAAGGGAAACAGAGAGAUUACAAUCCCAUCUCGGUGAGACCGAGAUCCCUAUCGGUGGGACCGAAAAGACUAGGGUUUGUGGUAGUGGCUAUGUCAAGUGAACUCGGUGGCGCCGGAUAGAUCAAAUUGGUGGGGCCGAGUUUGACUUUUGGUUUGGGAUAUAUUUGGAUAUGAGAAAGUGGUUGAGGGUUGUGGAGCAUAUCACUAAGCACUUUGAGCAAGAACCUCAUUAAGCAACACCUCAUCCCCUCUUAAUAGUAUUGGCUUUUCCUAUGGAUUGAAUGUGAUCUUGGAUCACUAAAAAUGAAAUGUAGAGUCUUGUGCUUUGAUCUUGAGCCAAUCCUUUUGUCCUUAGCAUUUUGAGGAGUCCACUUUCUAAUCCAUGCCAUGCCAAUCAUUGAGCUUUUCCUGAAAUAUUUAUUUUCAAGUAGCAUUAACUCAAUGAGCUAUAUGUUGUUAGGAAUUACCAAAACCACCCAGGGAUAGUUGCACUUUCAAUUAUGAGAAGUUUGAUACUUGAUAGUUGUUUUGAGAUAUAAAGGUGGUAAUACUAGAGUCGUGCUAGUUGAGUAAUUAUGAAAUUGAGAAAUACUUGUGUUGAAGUUGGCAAGUCCCGUAGCUUGCACGUAUGGUAGACGUUGUGUGACAAAUUUGAAGCAUGAGGUGUUCUUUGAUUGCUUUCCUUAUGAGUGGCGGUCGGGGACAAGCGAUGGUCUUUUCCUACCAAUCUAUCCCCCUAGGAGCAUGCACGUAGUGCUUGAUUUUGAUGACUUGUAGAUUUUUGGAAUAAGUAUGUGAGUUCUUUAUGACUAAUGUUGAGUCCAUGGAUUAUACACACUCUCACCCUUGAAUCAUUGCUAGCCUCUUUGGUACCGUGCAUUGCCCUUUCUCACCUCGAGAGUUGGUGCAAACUUCGCUGGUGCAUCCAAACCCCUUGAUAUGAUACGCUCUAUCACACGUAAGCCUCCUUAUAUCGUCCUCAAAACAGCCACCAUACCUACCUAUUAUGGCAUUUCCAUAGCCAUUCCGAGAUAUAUGUGGCGACCCGACCUCAAACGGCCAAGUCUCUGUGCUUCAGUGUCAUCCCUGGAUCGGUAAUGCUGACACACACAGUACUCGAGGAUUUAUAACAGAGUAGCAAUCACACACUUAUUACAUUGAAUGUCUCAAAAGAGAACUUAUUACAGUAAAUAUGGCUUAAGGCCAUCUAAUACGAUAACAGCGGAAGGCUUGGAAGAUAAAGUGAGUCCAUCAACUCCAACGGCAUAGCUGAGCUGCACGGCAACGACCUAACGAACCUUACUCCUCGUCUGAAAAGUCUGCAACAUAAUAUGUUGCAGCCCGAAAACGGGUCAGCACAUCGAAUAUGCUGGCAAGAUAACAUAGUAGAGCAAGAACAGAAUAAUGCUAUCAGUACAUGCAUAUUUGGCUGGUGGAAAGCUCUAUGGUUAUAGUUUUUGCGAAAAGUCAAUUUUUCCCUACAACAAAGGAAUAUAUUUUAUUUAACUAUCAUGGUAGUUGAAACAUCAUUGAGAAGGUUCCUCCAACUCAAUCCAAAUUAAAGUAAUUAACAACCCAACAAUAUUAGUUUAGAGUGAUGAGAUACAUAGGAUACUCCAAGUACUAGAUACUCAAGAUGUCCAUAACCGGGGACACGGCUAACCAUGAUUAGUUUAUACACUCUGCAGAGGUUUGCGCACUUUUCCCCACAAGACCCGAUCUCCUCCGUUGGAUUUCUCGCACUACAGGGUGUUUGAGAAACGGAUGACCGAGACACAGUCUUUCAGAAGCAUUAACUCCUUACUCCGGGCAGACCAUACCAAACCUACAUCCCACUACCUGCUGAUCCACCUCUUCGGGAGCUUCACGCAACUUACUCAACUAUGCUAGAGCCCAUAAUAGCUUGUGGCUGCACACGGAAGUUUCUAGCAUUUAAAUAUCUCAGUUCCCUUUGAGCUUGGGUGGCGGACCAUAGGAUUAUCACACGGGUACUCCGGGAUAUCCUAGGACAACACUAGAUUCCCUAGGUGCCCAACAAACAAUCCACCCAGAUGUGUAUUCAAGUUGCCACCUUAAGUUGAACCAUUAAUUAACAAUCUCACAUUUGUCAUGGAUUUCACUCACCCAAACCACGUCUACGAGCAUAGCAUAGCAAUAUAAGCAAUACGUAGAAGUAACUCCCGAGGGUUUGAAUAUAACAGGGCAAUAGGUUCUACCUCAUCAACUACUUCCCAACCCACAUAUUAAUCACAUCCUAACCAUGCAAUGUUUGAGGAUUGGAGCUAAUGCAUAAAAACUGGGUGAUAAAGGGGUAUGAUCAAAGUGUUACUUGCCUUGCUGAUGAACCGCAUAACCUAGGGACUCGUAGUAGCACGCUUCACACUCUGGGUGUUCUAUCGCAAACAAACAAAAGCAUACAUAAGCAAUCAAGCAAAGAAACACGAGUAAAUCUCAAAUAAGAAGAUCUAACCAGAAAGUUCAACUUAAGAACUUCGGUUUGCGAAAAGAAUCAAAUCAAACGGAGCAACGAAACUCAAAUGGCGAAAGAAACAAGAUCUGUUUACUAAUGUGGACUAAGGUCAAAUUUUAUAGUAGCAAAAGCUUGUUCAAGCUGGUUAAACGGAAAGAGGGUCUCGAGACGAAGAUCUAGGCGCUUGAAUCGCCUGAUUCCGAUAAAUGAGCGAAAAGAUAAACUAAAACGAAAAUCGGAUCAGAAAUCGCGAUUGAAAAUAAUCACGGAAAAUCCGAGAAAAAGAAAAUUGACGAACAGGCUAACGAACGAGCGUUUGUUGUCUGUUGCUAACGAGUAAACUCCGUUUGCUAAAACGAACGUACGGACGAACGUCCGCAAAGUAACUAAACCGAGAAAAACCGGUGAACCAAUCUAAAAAAAUGAACUAGGGUUUCUUAAAAAAACUGGAUCGGUUUUUAAAAAAAAACAGGCGGCAGCAACGGCGGCGUUACCUCCGACGAGGCUCCGGCGAGGCGGGGCUGUGGCGGUGGGGCGACGGCGGCACGNNNNNNNNNNNNNNNNNNNNNNNNNNNNNNNNNNNNNNNNNNNNNNNNNNNNNNNNNNNNNNNNNNNNNNNNNNNNNNNNNNNNNNNNNNNNNNNNNNNNNNNNNNNNNNNNNNNNNNNNNNNNNNNNNNNNNNNNNNNNNNNNNNNNNNNNNNNNNNNNNNNNNNNNNNNNNNNNNNNNNNNNNNNNNNNNNNNNNNNNNNNNNNNNNNNNNNNNNNNNNNNNNNNNNNNNNNNNNNNNNNNNNNNNNNNNNNNNNNNNNNNNNNNNNNNNNNNNNNNNNNNNNNNNNNNNNNNNNNNNNNNNNNNNNNNNNNNNNNNNNNNNNNNNNNNNNNNNNNNNNNNNNNNNNNNNNNNNNNNNNNNNNNNNNNNNNNNNNNNNNNNNNNNNNNNNNNNNNNNNNNNNNNNNNNNNNNNNNNNNNNNNNNNNNNNNNNNNNNNNNNNNNNNNNNNNNNNNGAGUCCGACUCGGACUCCGGUCCGAGUCGGCGGCGGCGACGCGCGGUCUCCAGGAGGGAGACAUCGGCGCGGGGAAGGUGGGCCGGUGGCUGGGCUUCGGCCUAACUAGCCACUGCGCGUUCUUUUUUUAAAAUAAUUCCGCCGAAACUAAAAAAAUCCUAGAAAAUAAAAUAAAAUUCUAAAAAUGCCAAAACAAAUUUUCGCAGUCUAAAUAAAAUAUUUAGAACAAGGUGAACAUUUUCUUGGCCCUAAAAUGCAAUUUUGAAAACCGUGCAAUUUUUCUAAUUUGAAUAAAAUAGCAAUAAACUCCGGAUAAAAAUCAAAUAUUUGAUUUUAAUAUUUUUCCUGCAAUAUUUCCUUUAUUUUGGAGAAGUCAUAUUAUCUCCUCUCAUGUAUUUUAAUAUGAAAUAUUUUCGGAGAGAAAAAAUAAUUAAAACCAAAAUCCUCGUUUCAAUAUUUGAUAAAACUCAAAUAUGAAAACUGGGAAAUCCCCAACUCUCUCCGAGGAUCCUUGAGUUGCUUAGGAUUUCGAGGAUCACAAAAUGAAAUGCAAUAAAAUAUGAUAUGCAUGAAUGAUCUAUGUAUAACAUUCCAAAUUGAAAAUUUGGGAUGUUACAAUAUAUUGCCAUGCAACUUUCCACCAUUCCGUUUAUUAUGACACGCUCCAUCCUUGUCAUAUUGCUUUGCAUGAUCAUGUAGUUGACAUCAUAUUUGUGGCAAAGCCACCUUCAUAAUUCUUUCAUACAUGUCACUCUUGAUUCAUUGCAUAUCCCGGUACACCGCCGGAGGCAUUCACAUAGAGUCAUAUUUUGUUCUAAGUAUCGAGUUGUAAUUCUUGAGUUGUAAGUAAAUAAAAGUGUGAUGAUUUUCAUUAUUAGAGCAUUGUCCCAUGUGAGGAAAGGAUGAUGGCGACUAUGAUUCCCCCACAAGUCGGGAUGAGAUUUUGGGCGAAAAAUAAAAAAAAAGAGGCCAUAAAAAAGAGAAAAAGGCCCAAAUAAAUAAAAAAAUGAAAAUGAGAGAAAAAGAGAGAAGGGGCAAUGUUACUACCCUUUUUCCACACUUGUGCUUCAAAGUAGCACCAUGAUCUUGAUGAUAGAGAGUCUCCUAUUUUGUCACUUUCAUAUACUAGUGGGAAUUUUUCAUUAUAGAACUUGGCUUGUAUAUUCCAAUGACGGGCUUCCUCAAAAUGCCCUAGGUCUUCAUGAGCAAGCAAGUUGGAUGCACACCCACUUAGUUUGUUUUGUUGAGCUUUCAUAUAUUUAUAGCUCUAGUGCAUCCGUUGCAUGACAAUCCCUACUCCUUGCAUUGACAUCAAUUGAUGCGUAUCUCCAUAGCCCAUUGAUUAGCCGCGUCAAUGUGAUACUUUCUCCUUUUUUGUCUUCUCACAAACCUCCACCAUCAUAUUCUAUUCCACCCAUAGUGCUAUGUCCAUGGCUCGCGCUCAUAUACCGCGUGAAAGUUGAAAGAGUUUGAAAAGGCUAAGUAUGAAACAAUUGCUUGGCUUGCCAUAGGGGUUGUGCAUGAUGGGAGCAUUUUGUGUGACAAAAAUGAAGCAUGGAAAAACUAUAUGAUUUUGUAGGGAUAAGCUUUCUUUGGUUAUGUUAUUUUGAUAAGACAUAAUUGCUUGGUUAGCAUGCUUGAAGUAUUAUUAUUUUUAUGUCAAUAUUGAACUUUUAUCUAGAAUCUUUUGGAUCUAAACAUUCAUGCCGCAAUAAAGAGAAUUACAUUGAAAAUUUGUGUUAGGUAGCAUUCCACAUCAAAAAAAUCUGUUUUUAUCAUUUACCUACUCGAGGACGAGCAUGAAUUAAGCUUGGGGAUGCUUGAUACGUCUCCAACGUACCUAUAAUUUUUGAUUGUUCCAUGCUAUUAUAUUAUCUGUUUUUGGAUCUUUAAUGGGCUUUAUUAUGCACUUAUAUUUUUUUUGGGACUAACCUAUUAACCGAAGGCCCAGUGCAAAUUGCUAUUUUUUUGCCUAUUUCAGUGUUUCGCAGAAAAGGAAUAUCAAACGGAAUCCAAACGGAAUGAAACCUUCGCGAGGAUCUUUUUUGGAACAAACGCAAUCCAGGAGACUUGGAGUGGAGGUCAAGGAAGCAAAGAGGUGGCCACGAGGUAGGGCGGCACACUCAGGGGGCAGGUGCGCUCCCCACCCUCGUGGGCCCCUCGUAGCUCUACCGACCUACUUCCUUCGCCUAUAUAUACUCUUAUAUCCUGAAAACAUCCAGGAGAGCUACGGAACCACUUUUCCACCGCCACAACCUUCUGUACCCAUGAGAUCCCAUCUGGGGACCUUUUCCGGUGAUCUGCCGGAGGGGGAUUCGAUCACAGAGGGCUUCUACAUCAACACCAUAACCUCUCUGAUGAUGUGUGACUAGUUUACCAGAGACCUUUGGGUCCAUAGUUAUUAGCUAGAUGGCUUCUUCUCUCUCUUUGGAUCUCAAUACAAAGUUAUCCUUGAUGUUCUUGGAGAUAUAUUCGAUGUAAUUCUUUUUGAGGUGUGUUUGCCGAGAUCCGAUGAAUUGUGGGUUUAUGAUCAAGUUUAUCUAUGAACAAUAUUUGAUUCUUCUCUGAAUUCUUAUGUGCAUGAUUUGAUAUCUUUGCAAGUCUCUUCGAAUUAUCAGUUUGGUUUGGCCAACUAGAUUGAUCUUUCUUGCAAUGGGAGAAGUGCUUAGCUUUGGGUUCAAUCUUGCGGUGCUCGAUCCUAGUGACAGAAAGGGAACCAACACGUAUUUUAUUGUUGACAUCGAGGAUAAAAAGAUGGGUUUUAUAUCAUAUUGCUUGAGUUUAUCCCUCUACAUCAUGUCAUCUUGCCUAAUGCGUUACUCUGUUCUUAUGAACUUAAUACUCUACAUGCAUGCUGGAUAGCGGUCGAUGUGUGGAGUAAUAGUAGUAGAUGCAGAAUUGUUUCGGUCUACUUGACACGGACGUGAUGCCUAUGUUUAUGAUCAUGCCUAGAUAUUCUCAUAACUAUGCGCUUUUCUAUCAAUUGCUCGGCAGUAAUUUGUUCACCCACCGUAAUAUAUGCUAUCUUGAGAGAAGCCACCAGUGAAACCUAUGGCCCCCGGGUCUACUUUACAUCAUAUAAGUUUCCGAUCUACAAUUCUAGUUUACUAUUUAUUUUGCAAUCUUUAUUUUCCAAUCUAUACAACGAAAAUACCAAAAAUAUUUAUGUUAUUAUCUUUAUCAGAUCUCACUUUCGUAAGUGACUGUGAAGGGAUUGACAACCCCUUUAUCGCGUUGGUUGCGAGGUUCUUGUUUGUUUGUGCAGGUACUAGGCGACUUGCGUGUAGUCUCCUUCUAGAUUGAUACCUUGGUUCUCAAAAACUAAGGGAAAUACUUACACUACUUUGCUGCAUCACCCUUUCCUCUUCAAGGGAAAAACAACGCAUGCUCAAGAGGUUGCAGUAUGUGACUCCAUCGUUUGUCCAGCUAGUUUUUGUUUUAGUUGUUUAUAUUUUGAAUAAUUAGCUAGUAUUGGUGCUGUUGUAUAUGAGCUUGCAUGUUGAAUUCUCAGAGUUCUAAGUAGUUUGAAUGCUUGCUAUGGCCUCUAUGUAUCCCUUUGAGUAGUUGGUAUCAUUUUUGUGAAGUUCUGUUGAGAAAAUUUUGUGGACUAAAAAUUUCAAGAUUUUUGUUGAUAGGAAAAACAUGAAUAUCUUUAGGAAGUUUGGUUCCAAGAAGAACUCCAAGAGAGUUAUUGGGGAGUCGUCUGACACUGAUCUGCACCCCUAGAGGUUGGCGGAAGUACGGCCAUGUGAAUGGCCGCAUACCCCAUUCGUGGAAGAGGCUAGAAUCCUGCAAGAGUUUACAAAAUAUGUUGCUAAUGUCGGCCUCACCAACUUCAUCGCAACUGAAUGUGAACAGUGUCAUCUCCUCACAAACACCUUUGUUCCAAGUUUUAAUUUCUUUCCUAGGAAUAAUCCUCCUGAGGUGUAGUUUAAUUUAUAUGCUGAAACCCGUCAGAUACCACUUACUGAAUUUUGUAACAUAUGCAUGAUCCCUUAUGACGGGAGUUUAGUUGAGCCUAGGCUGACAGAGUUUGAGGCCUUUUAUCGUACCUUGACAGUGGGAGAUGAGAGAGGAGUGUCGUUCGUCACUGCCACUAGCAUACAUUUUCCUGCCAUGCAUUACUUUGCUUUAUUUGUUGCUAAGUGUUUGCUUGCUAGAGAAAAAGUAGGUGCGCUCAGCGCACCAGACUUUGCUUUUUUACGUCGUGCACUAGAGGGCGACAACACUUAUAGCUUGGGAGCUAUUGUGGCACGUCGCCUCCAUGUUAAUAAGUCCAAGGAUAAGAUACAUGGUGGAAUUUUUGCUACUCGUUUGGUGACUCACUUUAAUGUUGAGAUACGCCUUCAUGAUUACCCACUGACCAAGGUUUACCUAGAUCACGCGACCAUGGAUCACCACCAUUUUACUGAUAUCGAAUCUCCUAACAUCCCUGUUCCAUAUAACCUGGUUUUUAGUGUGAAGACUCAUGAUAUUAUUCCAUUGCCUGCUCCUGCUUUGUUUGACCCUGUUGCCAAGGGCGGAUAUAGGAUUAUGCCUGUGGACAUCAUCGCCUACCAGAACAAUCGGGUUGUAGCAGAGGAGGAGCCUCAUCAGUGGGAUGCAUGGAUGCUCGCUCCUCAGCACCCCAACUACUGACAUUACAUUCAUGUUCACACAUCUCAUUCCAGUUGUCGGUGUUUACACUUUUUCAUUGUAUCAUACAUGCUUAAUUUUAUUUUCUUGCUUUCUUCUUGUGUGUUUGAAAAACCUUAGAAAAAACAAAAAAAAUAGUUAUAGUUAAUUUACUUUCUAUGCAUGCUUAGCUGUAGCACUAAAAAUAAAAUCCAAAAAGUUUCCCUUGUUCUUCUUUUGCUUGUUGGGAGCUUUCCCGUGUAAAUCGUUUUUCUCGUUUUUUGCUUUCCCUUUUAUUCGCAUGUUCAAGAAAACCAAAAACUCCAAAAAUAUUUUAGUGUGUUUCUCUGCAUUUCUUUUUUUAUCCGAGUCAUACCAAGGAGAAGACCACGAUGAAAAUGUUGAGUGGCUCUCAUUUGAAUAGUUGUUGAUCUAAUAAAGAGCCCAUUUUACCUUGUCUUCUCCUAUUGAAUAAAACGUUUGCAGAUUCCAGCUUAGUCCACGGCACACUUGCUCUAUUAUUAUGUUCACAUUGUUCGGUCGUGCAAGUGAAAGGCAAUAAUGACGAUAUUCUAUGAACCGGCCGUGGUAGAGAGAAACAUAUAUGAACUCGACUUGUUCUGUUUGUGUAAAUAUGUUUAACCUUGUAUCCAUGAUUCAGCCAAUUAUGAUUAAACAUGUUUGCAGUGACAAUUAGAGAUUAUAGUUUCUCAUGCCAUGCAUAAGUAGUUGGGAGUGGAUAAUGAUUUAUCUUGGAUAUCCACAUUGUGUUAAAAUGAUUGUGAUGUAGUAUGAUGAUAUGGUAUACUCCUCUAAACAUUCGAGUGGCUUGACUUGGCACAUUUUCAUGCAUGUAGUUGAAUCAAAACCAACAUAGCCUCUAUGAUAUUUAUGUUCAUGGUGUUCAUAUCCUACUCAUGCUAGUGUCCAAUGUUACUUAUGCAUAAUGCAUGUUCAUGACCGUUGUUGCUCUCUAGUUGGCCGCUUCUCAAUCUAAUUGCUAGCCUUCGCCUGUACUAUGUGGGAAUUCUGCUUAUACAUCAAAAACCUUGAACCCAAGUUAUUCCAGAUGAGUUCACCAUACCUACCUAUAUGCGGUAUUACCCUGUCGUCCUAAGUAAAUUUGCAUGUGCCACCUCUAAAAAAACUUCUAAUAAAUAUCCUUUUGUGUGUGCCUGGAUCGUUCAUGGAACGACAUGAGGUGGUCGGUAUCUUCCAUACUAAGCGGGUUAUUCUCAGGUCAAGUGUUUAUUCGCUCGCCAUCGCACGAGAAAAGGGCGGUAAUAGGGAUGCACAGUCCCAAAUUGCAAACAGAAAAAGUUUACAAAUAAUCAAACAAAAACUCCCAAUGGAGUCAAAACUUUUACUUUUAUCGCUUGGGAACCGCCACUAGUGUGCCUAGCAUGGAAGAUAUUGAUAACUGAUGGUCGUGAAGUAAAUGAGAAGGGUGCAUGUAUCAAAAAAUCAUUUACCUCUGUUUUAAAACUUGAGCUCUGGCACCUCUGGAAAUCACUGCUUCCCUCUACGAAGGGACUAUCUAUUUACUUUUAUGUUGUGUCAUCACCUUCUAAAAUAAGCACCAGAACUUGAGAGCACUACUAUCAUGCUUAUGCAUUGUGUGUAGAUAAUGUUGGGUGCAUCAUGACUGGAUCUUUUCUACCAUGAGUUACAAUGUUUAGUCGCUGCUUGAACUUUGGAGGUACUUUGCAUUUAUGUUUUGUGGUCUCAGAAAGGGCUAGCGAGGUACUGAUACGUCUCCAACGUAUCUAUAAUUUUUGAUUGUUCCAUGUUGUUAUAUUAUCAAUCUUGGAUGUUUCAUGAUAAUUUUAUAGUCAUUUUAUAUCAUUUUUUGGUACUAACCUAUUGACAUAGUGCCAAGUGCCAGUUGCUAUUUUUCCAUGUUUUUUACAUUGCAUAAAAUCAAUAUCAAUUGGAGUCCAAAUGCCACAAAACUUUACAGAGAAUUUUUAUGGGCCAAAAGGAACACAACGGCCCUGGCUGCGCCCGGGGGUGCCCCGAGGAAGGCACAACCCACCAGGGCACGCCAGGAGGCCCAGACGCGCCCUGGUGGGUUGUGCCCACCUCGGGUGCACCCCCGGACCACCUCUUUGCUCUAUAAAUACCCCAAUAUACCAGAAACCCUAUGGGAGUCAACGAAAUAUUCAUCCAGCUACCGCAGAGUUCAGAACCACCAGAUCCAAUCUAGACACCAUCUCGGAUGGGGUCCACCACCUCCAUUGGUGCCUCUCUGAUGAUGCGUGAGUAGUUCUUUGUAGACCUUCGGGUCCGUAGUUAGUAGCUAGAUGGCUUCAUCUCUCUCUCUCUCUUGAUUCUCAAGACAAUGGUCUCUUGGAGAUCCAUAUGAUGUAACACUUUUGCGGUGUGUUUGUGGGGAUCGAUGAACUUUGAGUUUAUGAUCAGAUCUAUCUUUUUAUAUCUGUGAAAGUAUUUGAGUUUCUUUGCUCUCUUUUAUGCAUGAUCUCUUAUAGCCUCGUAUUUAUUAGCUGAUAAUUGGGUUUUGUUUGGCCAACUUGACCUAUUUAUCUUGCAAUGGGAAGAGGUGGUUUGUAGUGGAUUCGAUCUUAUGGUGCUCGAUCCCAGUGACAGGAAGGGAAACAACACGUAUGUAUCGUUGCUACUAAGGAUAAAACGAUGGGGACUAUCUCUACAUAGAUAGAUCUUGUCUACAUCAUGUCAUCAUUAUUAUUGCAUUACUCCGUUUCUCCAUGAACUUAAUACACUAGAUGCAUGUUGGAUAGUGGUCGAUGUGUGGAGUAAUAGUAGUAGAUGCAGGCAGGAGUCGGUCUACUAAUCUUGGACGUGAUGCCUAUGUAAUGAUCAUUGCCCGGAUAUUGCCAUGAGUAUUUGAAGUUCUAUCAAGUGCUCAACAGUAAUUUGUUCACCCACCGCUUUGCUAUUUUUCUCGAGAGAAGCCACUAGUGAAACCUACGCCCCCGGGUCUCUUCCUCAUAUUAUUUUCCUUUGCGAUAUACUUUUAUUUGCCUUUAUUUUCAGAUCUAUUAAUCCAAAAACCCAAAAAUACUUUGCUGCACUUUAUUUUAUUUGCGAUCUAUUUAUUCAAUCUAUUGCAACCUUUCCCCGUCACACACCAAUUUGUGGCACCGUACCCGAGAGGGAUUGACAACCCCUUUAACACGUCGGGUUGCGAGGAUUUGUUAUCUGUGUGCAGGGGCUGUUUAUGUUGUGUUGCUUGGUUCUCCUACUGGUUCGAUAACCUUGGUUUCAUAUCCGAGGGAAAUACCUACCACUGCUGUCCCGCGUCAUCUCUUCCUCUUUGGGGAAAUACCGACAUAGCUUCAAGCGACAUCAAAUGGAAUUUCUGGCGCCGUUGCCGGGGAAAAUCAAGUCAAGUCUCUCGACAACUCGCCAAUUUCUAGCGCCGUUGCCGGGGAGGAUCUUCAACAUAUACCAGGUUCCUAAUCACAAAUCUCAUCUCCUUGCAAUAUACAUUAUUUGCCAUUUGCCUCUCGUUUUCCUCUCCCCCACUUCACACAAAUUUGCCGUUUUAUUCACCUCUCUUUUUUCGUUCGUCGUUUUCUUGUCGGAUCUAUUUUCAUGUGUGUUCUUGUUUACGUAGUCAUGAUGCCUCAAAGAAAAUAUUAUGAUGUUCCUUACCCCAAUAUUUUACUUGAAUUUGAGAAAAGUACUAAGGAAUAUAUGAUUACACAAUUUGAGCAUAAUAAGUAUUUUACCGAAGAGCUUAAGGAACACUUCGUUGUGCUUGAUGCUAUAACAAAACAACUUGAUGCCAUUAGUAGAGAAGGUUGCAAUCUCCAAUCUAAGUAUGCUUUUGCUGAAAGUUUGCUAGAAAAAUAUCCAAUGCACAAGCUACUCUAGUUAAUUAAAUGGCCGCUAAACCAAUCUCACUAGAGGAUAAAAGUGAUGAAGAUCUUAAAAUGAUUGGUGUUUCUUCUAUUGAUUCCUUGUUUAGUAAAGUUAAUAUUGAUGAAAAAGGGACUGGAGAAGAGUCAACUAUAGGUAGAAGGCGUCCCAACAUUUUAGAGAGUGAAAAUCUUGACGAGAAAAUUGAUAAAAGUGGGUUUGAAGAGGUCAAAACUUUAGCUAGUGAUGUGCCCACUCUUUUGGAUUACAAAGACUUUAAUUAUGAUAGUUGCUCUUUGAUUGAUUGUAUCUCUUUGUUGCAAUCCAUGAUAAAUCCACCCCAUGCUUAUGAACGAAAUAAAGCUUUUACUAAACAUAUUGUUGAUGCUAUGAUGAAAGCUUUUGAAGAAAGAAUGGAAUUAAAAGUUUAAAUUCCUAGAAAAUUACAUGAUGAAUGGGAACCUACUAUCAAAGUCAAGAUUAAAAAUUAUGAGUGUUUUGCUUUGUGUGACUUGGGUGCUGGUGUUUCUACUAUUCCGAAAUCUUUAUGUGAUGUGCUUGGUCUUACCGAUCUUGAAUUGUGUUCUUUGAAUUUGCACUUGGUGGAUUCUACUAUUAAAAAGCCUAUGGGAAGAAUUAUGUGCCCAUAGAUUUUAUUGUUCUUGAUAUUGAUUGCAAUUUGUUUUGUCCAAUUAUUCUUGGUAGAUCGUUUUUACGCACUAUUGGUGCCGUGACUGAUAUGAAAGAAGGCAAUAUUAAGUUCAAUUUUCCUUUGAGGAAGGGUAUGGAACACUUUCUUAGAACAAGAAUUAGGCCAACAUAUGAAUCAACCACGAGGGCAUCUUAUGGAUCUCGAACCAAACAUGACAAAACUUAGAUCCUUGCUUUAUGCCUAGCUAAGGGCGUAAAACUAUAACGCUUGUUGGGAGGCAACCCAAUGAAUAAAAUUUAUCUUGGCUUUUUGCUUCCUGUUUUUUAGUGCUAGCACAAUUAUGCUACUGUUAUGAUUGUGUGUUUUUAUGUUUUAAUUAGUGUUUGUGCCAAGUAAAGCCUUUAGGAUCUUCUUGGGUGAUAGUUGUUUGAUCUUGCUGAAAAAAACAAAAUCUUUUGCGCUCAUGAAAAUAAUUUUCAUUUUUUACCAUAGACCGAGAAAAUACCCAUUCCACUUGCAGUACAUCAAUAUACAAAUUUCUCAUGUUUUCCUAUUUUUUCAGAAUUUUUGGAGUUACGGAAGUGUUCGAAAUAGUCAGAUUGCUACAGACUGUUCUGUUUUGACAGAUUCUGUUUUCUUUGUGUUGUGUGCUUAUUUUGAUGGCUCUAUGGUUUUCUUUGAUGAGUUUUUUCCAUAGAAAAGUUGGAAUACAGUAGAUAUAACACAAGAACAAAAUAUGAAUUGGUUUGAUACAACACUUAUAGUAGUGAUUUAUUAUUCUUAUACUAACAGAUCUUACGAAGGUUUUGUUGAGUUUUGUGUGAUUGAAAUUUUCAAGUUUUGGGUUAUCUUACGAUGGAUGAAGGAAUAAGGAGUAGAAGAGCCUAAGCUUGGGGAUGCCCCGGCAUCCCAAGCUAUUACCCAAAAAUAAUCAACCAACUAAGCAUCACAUACUAUGUGUUUUGCUUGGAGCGUCUUGUAUUAUAUGAGUCUUUGCUUGUAUUAUUUUGUGCUUUAAGUAUUGAUCCUUUGCUGGACACACCUAUUUGAGAGAGCAAAAAAUAUGUCAUGACUUGUUAGAAUUGCUCUCUAUGCUUCACUUAAAUUUUUAUGAGCAAUGGGCUUGCUCUAGUGCUUCACUUAUAUCUUUUUGAGCAUGGUGUACUUAGUAUUUUUGAAGAAAUGCUCUCCUACUUCACUUAGAUUCAUUUGAGAGGUAGUAAAAUUUUCAAGAAAUUCUCUCUUGCUUCACUUAAAUUAAUUUGAGUGAAAGAAAUAUUAUGCUCAUGAUCUUCAUUUAUAUUUGUUUGAGCUUGUCAAAAGCAACGUAUGAAAAUUAGUCCCAAAGUGAUAGAUAUCCAAGAAGGAUAUAAUAAAAACUUUCAUGAAGAUCAUUGGACAAAAUAGACUUGAUUCUUAGUAAUAGUUUUGAGAUAUGAUGAUGUGAUAUGUGAGUCAUCUUGAUGAGUAAUUAUGCUUUAGUAAGAUUAUUGGUGUUAAGGUUUGUGGCUCCCUAUACAAGCAUGAAAGUCAAUAGUUAUGCAAUGAAAUUAUAUCCUACUUAUGGUGCAUUAUUCGGUGUUAGUUAUGCUUAAUGCUCGCUUAUGAGAUUAUUCGUUUCUUGGUUGGUCUCUUCCCAAUCUUUUGCCAGCCUUCAUUUUGCACUAAGUACGAUCACUACCUGUGCAUCCAAAAACCUUUAACCAGUUUUGCCACAUGAGUCCACUACAUCUACCUAUAUAUGGUAUUCUUUUGCCUUCUAAGCAAAUUUGCAUGUGCCAUCUCUAAUUUUCAAAAGAAACUUCUCUUUUGUGUGUUUGUUUCGCUCGUGGAGUGGUGAGGGGUGGCUAAUAUUUUCCAUGCUAGAUGUGUUAUUCUCAAGAUGAGUGUUUAUUCACUUGUCAUUGCAUGAGAGUAAGGCAAAGGUAUUAGGGAUGCCCAGUCCCGAAAUGCAAAAAAAUGAAUUUACUUUAUGUUGUCAAAUAAUAAAUUCCUUGGAAAGUGUUGGUAUGGAGGGCACCCGUGGAUACGGUUAGCCAUGGAAAGUGAAAGUAUGGUGGAAAAUGGAAUAAACUUUAUUUUUUGUUUGGGAACCUCCUAUGAUAUAUCUAUGCAUGGAAAGUAUUUGGAACUCUAAGUCGUUUUCUUUGGUGGGAUGAAUACACCUCCCAAAAUGUUUUUAUCUCUAAGUUUUUUGCUUUGAGCUCUGGCACCUCUACAAAUCCCUACUUCCCUCUACGAAGGGCCUUUCUUUUACUUUAUGCAAUUUUUAUUUUGAAUUUGAGUCUCCAUCUUCUCUUAUAAAAGAACCAACUAGGAGGCAAUAUGAUCGUGCUUGAGUAUUUUACAUAGCUAAUAUGCGAGUGUGUUUCAAGAAUGGAUCAAUGGUUGAGCAUGAUGGGCUAGGGUUAGCUUAUUUUAGCGUUGAUAUUCUGAUAGACAUGGUUGCUUAUUGAUAUGCUUGAGUAUUUAAAUUAUCAUGUCAAAACUAGACUAUUGCUUUGAACAAUAUAAAAGUCCAAAUGUCCGUGCUAUAAGGAAAGAAAUAUGAUAUGACAAGUUAGGCAACAUUCCACAUCAAAAAUUCUGUUUUUACCACUUCCCUACUCGAGGACGAGUAGGAGUUAAGCUUGGGGAUGCUGAUAUGUCUCCAACGUAUAUAUAAGUUUUGAUUGUUCCAUGCUGUUAUAUUAUCAAUCUUGGAUGUUUUAUAACCAUUUUAUAGUCAUUUUGUAUCAUUUUUUGGUACUAACCUAUUGAGAUAGUGCCAAGUGCUAGUUGUUGGUUUUUUUCCAUGUUUUUUACAUCGCAGAAAAUCAAUAUCAAAUGGAGUCCAAAUGCCACAAAAAUUUACGGAGAAUUUUUAUGGGCCAAAAGGAACACAAUGGGCCCUGGCUGCGCCCGGGGGUGCCCCGAGGGAGGCACAACCCACCAGGGCGUGCCAGGAGGCGCAGGCGUGCCCUGGUGGGUUGUGCCCACCUCAGGUGCCCCCGGACCGCCUCUUUGCUAUAUAAAUACCCCAAUAUUCCAGAAACCCUAGGGGAGUCAACGAAAUAUUCAUCCAGCCGCCGCAGAGUCUAGAGCCACUAGAUCCAAUCUAGACACCAUCUCGGAUGGGGUUCACCACCUCCAUUGGUGCCUCUUCGAUGAUGCGUGAGUAGUUCUUUGUAGACCUUCGGGUCCGUAGUUAAUAUCUAGAUGGCUUCAUCUCUCUCUCUCUUGUGGCUCAAUACAAUGGUCUGUUGGAGAUCCAUAUGAUGUAACUCUAUUGCGGUGCGUUUGUUGGGGUCGAUGAACUUUGAGUUUAUGAUCAGAUCUAUCUUUUUAUAUGCAUGAAAUUAUUUGAGUUUCUUUGAUAUCUUUUAUGCAUGAUCUCUUAUAGCCUCGUAUUUCUUCUCCGAUAAUUGGGUUUUGUUUGUCCAACUUGAUCUAUUUAUCUUGCAAUGGGAAGAGGUGCUUUGUAGUGGGUUCGAUCUUAUAGUGCUUGAUCCUAGUGACAGAAAGGGAAAGAACACAUAUGUAUCGUUGCUACUAAGGAUAAAACGAUGGGGUCUAUCUCUACAUAGAUAGAUCUUGUCUACAUCAUGUCAUCAUUCUUAUUGCAUUACUCUGUUUCUCCAUGAACUUAAUACACUAGAUGCAUGUUGGAUAGCGAUCGAUGUGUGGAGUAAUAGUAGUAGAUGUAGGCAGGAGUCGGUCUACUAAUCUUGGACGUGAUGCCUUUGUAAUGAUCAUUGCCUGGAUAUUGUCAUGAGUAUUUGAAGUUCUAUCAAUUUCCCAACAGUAAUUUGUUCACCCACCGCUUUGCUACUUUUCUCGAGAGAAGCCACUAGUGAAACCUACCGCCCCAGGAUCUCUUUCAUACUAUUUGCCUUUGCGAUCUACUUUUAUUUGCCUUUAUUUUCAACUCUAUUAAUCCAAAAACCCAAAAAUACUUUGCUGCACUUUAUUUUAUUUGUGAUCUAUUUAUUCAAUCUAUUACAACCUUUCCCCGUCACGCACCUAUUUUUGGCACCGUACCCGAAAGGGAUUGUCAACCCCUUUAACACGUUGGCUUGCGAGGAUUUGUUAUCUGUGUGCAGGGGCUGUUUACGUUGUGUUGCUUGGUUCUCCCACUGGUUCGAUAACCUUGGUUUUAUAUAUGAGGGAAAUACCUACCGCCGCUAUGCUGCAUCAUCCCUUCCUCUUUGGGGAAAUAGCGACGUAGCUUCAAGCGACAUCUAAUGGAAUUUCUGGCGCCGUUGCCGGGGAAAAUCAAGUCAAGUCUCACGACAAGUCACCAAUUUUUGGCACCAUUGCCGGGGAGGAUCUUCAACAUAUACCAGGUUCGUAAUCACAAAUAUCAUCUCCUUGCAAUUUACAUUAUUUGCCAUUUGCCUCUCAUUUUAUUCUCCCCCACUUCACAAAAAUUUGCCGGUUUAUUCGCCUCUCUUUUUCUGUUCACCGUUUUCUUGCUGGAUCUGUUUUUGUGUGUGUUCUUGUUUGCGUAGUCAUGAUGCCUCAGAAAAUAUUAUGAUUUUCCUUACCCCAAUAUUUUACUUGAAUUUGAGAAAGUACUAAGGAAUAUAUGACUACACAAUUUGAGCAUAAUAAGUAUUUUACCGAAGAGCUUAAGGAACACUCCGUUGUGCUUGAUGCUAUAACAAAACAACUUGAUGCCAUUAGUAGAUAAGUUUGCAAUCUCCAAUCUAAGUAUGAUUUUGCUGAAAGUUUGCUAGAAAAAUAUCCGAUGCACAAGCUACUCUAGUUAAUCAAAUGGCCGCUAAACCAAUCUCACUAGAGGAUAAAAGUGAUGAAGAUCUUAAAAUGAUUGGUGUUUCUUCUAUUGAUUCCUUGUUUAGUAAAGUUAAUAUUGAUGAAAAAGGGACUGGAGAAGAGUCAACUUUAGGUAGAAGGCGUCCCAAUAUUUCAGAGGGUGAACAUCUUGAUGAGAAAAUUGAUAAAAGUGGGUUUGAAGAGGUCAAAACUUUAGCUAGUGAUGCGCCCACUCUUUUGGAUUACAAAGACUUUAAUUAUGAUAGUAUCUCUUUGAUUGAUUGUAUUUCUUUAUUGCAAUCCAUGAUAAAUCCACCCCAUGCUUAUGAACAAAAUAAAGCUUUUACUAAACAUAUUGUUGAUGCUAUGAUGAAAGCUUUUGAAGAAAGAAUGGAAUUAAAAGUUUAAAUUCCUAGAAAAUUACAUGAUGAAUGGGAACCUACUAUCAAAGUCAAGAUUAAAAAAUAUUAGUGUUUUGCUUUGUGUGACUUGGGUUCUAGUGUUCCUACUAUUCUGAAAUCUUUAUCUGAUGUGCUUGGUCUUACCGAUCUUGAAUUAUGUUCUUCGAAUUUGCACUUGGCGGAUUCUACUAUUAAAAAGCCUAUGGGAAAAAUUAAUGAUGUUCUUAUUCUUGCAAAUAGGAAUUAUGUGCCCAUAGAUUUUAUUGUUCUUGAUAUUGAUUGCAAUUCGUCUUGUCCAAUUAUUCUUGGUAGACCGUUUUUACGCACUAUUGGUGCCGUGAUUGAUAUGAAAGAAGGCAAUAUUAAGUUCCAAUUUCCUUUGACGAAGGGUAUGGAACACUUUCUUAGAAGAAUAAUUAGGCCACCAUAUGAAUCGGUCAUGAUGGCAUCUUAUGGAUCUCGAACCCAAGAUGACAAAACUUAGAACCUUGCUUGAUGCCUAGCUAAGGGCGUAAAACUAUAGCGCUUGUUGGGAGGCAACCCGAUGAAUAAAAUUUAUCUUUGCUUUUUUGCUUCCUAUUUUUUAGUUCUAGCACAAUUAUGCUACUGUUAUGAUUGUGUUUUUAUGUUUUAAUUAGUGUUUGUGCCAAGUAAAUCCUUUAGGAUCUUCUUGGGUGAUAGUUGUUUGAUCUCGCUGACAAAACAGAAACUUUUGUGCUCACGAAAAUAAUUUUCAUUUUUUACUAGAGAGCGAUAAAAUACCCAUUCCACUUGCAGUACAUCAAUAUGCAAAUUUCUCAGGCCUUCCUAAUUUUUCAGAAUAUUUCGAGUUACGGAAGUAUUCGAAAUAGUCAGAUUGCUAAGGACUGUUCUGUUUUGACAGAUUCUGUUUUCUGUGUGUUGUGUGCUUAUUUUGAUGGCUCUAUGGUUUUCUUUGAUGAGUUUUUACCAUAGAAAAGUUGGAAUGCAGUAGAUAUAAUACAAGAACAGAAUAUGAAUUGGUUUUAUGCAACACUUAUAGUAGUGAUUUAUUAUUCUUAUACUAACGGAUCUCACAAAAGUUUUGUUGAGUUUUGUGUGAUUGAAGUUUUCAAGUUUUGGGUUAUCUUACGAUGGAUGAACGAAUAAGGAGUAGAAGAGACUAAGCUUGGGGAUGCCCCGGCAUCCAAAUAUAUUAUCCAAAAAUGAGUAACCAACUAAGCUUGGGGACGCCCCCGAGUGGCAUCCCCUCUUUCUUCUAACGACCAUCGGUAUUUUACUCGAAACUAUAUUUUUAUUCAUCACAUACUAUGUGUUUUGCUUGGAGCGUCCUGUAUGAUAUGAGUCUUUGCUUGUAUUAUUUUGUGCUUAAUGUCUUGAUCCUUUGCCGGACACACCUAUUUGAGAGAGCCAAAAUUAUGUCAUGACUUGUUAGAAUUGCUCUCUAUGCUUCACUUAAAAUUUUAUGAGCAUUGGGCUUGCUCUAGUGCUUCACUUAUAUCUUUUCGAGCACGGUGUGCUUAGUAUUUUUGAAGAAAUGCUCUCUUGUUUCACUUAUAUUUUUUGAGAGCUAGUAAAAUUUUCAAGAAAUUCUCUCUUGCUUCACUUAAAUUAAUUUGAGAGAAAGAAAUAUUAUGCUCACGAUCUUCACUUAUAUUUGUUUGAGCUUGUCAAAAGCAACGUAUGAAAAUUAGUCCCAAAGUGAUAGAUAUCCAAGAAGGAUAUAAUAAAAACUUUCAUGAAGAUAAUUGGACAAAAUAGACUUGAUUCUUAAUAAUAAUUUUGAGAUAUGAUGAUGUGAUAUGUGAGUCAUCUUAAUGAGUAAUUAUGCUUUAGUAAGAAUGUUGGUGUUAAGGUUUGUGAUUCCCUAUGCAAGCACGAAAGUCAAUAGUUAUGCAAUGAAAUUAUAUCCUACUUAUGGUGCAUUAUUUGGUGUUAGUUAUGCUUAAUGCUCGCUUACGAGAUUAUUUCUUUCUUGGUUGGUCGCUUCCCAAUCUUUUACUAGCCUUCAUUUUGCACUAAGUACGAUCACUACUUGUGCAACCAAAAACCUUUAACCAGUUUUGCCACAUGAGUCCACUAUAUCUAGCUAUAUGCGGUAUUCUUUUGACGUUCUAAGCAAAUUUGCAUGUGCCAUCUCUAAUUUUCAAAAUAAAAUUCUCUUUUGUGUGUUUGUUUCACUCACGGAGUGGUGAGGGGUGGCUAAUAUAUUCCAUGCUAGAUGUGUUAUUCUCAAGAUGAGUGUUUAUUCACUUGUCAUUGCAUGAGAAUAAGGCAAAGGUGUUAGGGAUGCCCAGUCCCGAAAUGCAAAAAAAUGAAUUUACUUUGUGUUGUCAAAUAAUAAAUUCCUUGGAAAGUGUUGGUAUGGAGGGCACCCAUGGAUACGGUUAGCCAUGGAAAGUGAAAGUAUGUUGGAAAAGGAAUAAACUUUAUUUUCUGUUUGGGAACCACCUAUGAUAUAUCUAUGCAUGGGAAGUUUGGGAACUCUAAGUCGUUUUCGUUGGUGGGAUGGAUACACCUCCCAAAAUAUUUUUACCUCUAAGUUUUUCGCUUGGAGCUCUGGCACCUCUACAAAUGCCUACUUCCCUCUACGAAGGGCCUUUCUUUUACUUUAUGCAAUUUUCAUUUUGAAUUCGAGUCUCCGUCUUCUCUAAUAAAAGAACCAACUAGGAGGCAAUAUGAUCGUACUUGUGUAUUGGACAUAGCUAAUAUGUGAGUGUGUUUCAUUAAUGGAUCAAUGGUUGAGCAUGAUGGGCUAGGGAUAGCUUAUUUUAGUGUUGAUAUUUUGAAAGACAUGGUUGCUUGUUGAUAUGCUUGAGUAUUUAAAUUAUCAUUUCAAAACUGGACUAUUGCUUUAAACAAUAUAAAAGUCCAAAUGUCCGUGCUAUAAAGAAAGAAAUAUGAUAUGCCAUGUUAGGCAACAUUCCACAUCAAAAAUUCUAUUUUUAUCACUUCCCUACUCGAGGACGAGUAGGAGUUAAGCUUGGGAAUGCUGAUACGUCUCCAACGUAUAUAUAAGUUUUGAUCGUUUCAUGCUGUUAUAUUAUCAAUAUUGGAUGUUUUAUAACCAUUUUAUAGUCAUUUUAUAUCAUUUUUUGGUACUAACCAAUUGACAUAGUGCCAAGUGCCAGUUGUUGUUUUCCAUGUUUUUUACAACGCAGAAAAUCAAUAUCAAAUGGAGUCCAAAUGCCAUGAAACUUUACGGAGAAUUUUUAUGGGCCAAAAGGAACACAAUGGGCCUUAGUUGCACCUAGGGGGUGCCCUGAGGGAGGCACAACCCACCAGGGCGCGCCAGGAGGCCCAGGCGCGCCAUGGUGGGUUGUGCCCACCUCAGGUGCCCCCGGACCGCCUCUUUGCUUUAUAAAUAUCCCAAUAUUCCAAAAACCCUAGGGGAGUUAACGAAAUAUUCAUCCAGCCACCGCAGAGUCCAGAACCACCAGAUCCAAUCUAGACACCAUCUCUGAUGGGGUUCACCACCUCCAUUGCUGCCUCUCCGAUGAUGCGUGAGUAGUUCAUUGUAGACCUUUGGGUCCGUAGUUAGUAUUUAGAUGGCUUCAUCUCUCUUCUCUCUCUCUCUCUUGAUUCUCAAUACAAUGGUCUCUUAAAGAUCCAUAUGAUGUAACUCUAUUGCGGUGCGUUUGUUGGGAUCAAUGAACUUUGAGUUUAUGAUCAGAUCUAUCUUUUUAUAUCCAUGAAAGUAUUUGAGUUUCUUUGAUAUCUUUUUUGCAUGAUCUCUUAUAGCCUCGUAUUUCUUCUCCGAUAAUUGGGUUUUGUUUGACCAACUUGAUCUAUUUAUCUUGCAAUGGUUAGAGGUGCUUUGUAGUGGGUUCGAUCUUACAAUGCUUGAUCCCAGUGACAGAAAAGGAAAGAACACGUAUGCAUCGUUGCUACUACGGAUAAAACGAUGGGGUCUAUCUCUAAAUAGAUAGAUCUUGUUUACAUCAUGUCAUCAUUCUUAUUGCAUUACUCUAUUUCUCCAUGAACUUAAUACACUAGAUGCAUGUUGGAUAGCGGUCGAUGUGUGGAGUAAUAGUAGUAGAUGCAGGCAGGAGUCGGUCUACUAAUCUUGGAAGUGAUGCCUAUGUAAUGAUCAUUGCCUGGAUAUCAUCCUGAGUAUUUGAAGUUCUAUCAGUUGCCCAACAGUAAUUUGUUCACCCACCGCUUUGCUAUUUUUCUCGAGAGAAGCCACUAGUGAAACCUACGCCCCCCGGGUCUCUUUCUCAUAUUAUUUGCCUUUGCAAUCUUCUUUUAUUUGCCUUUAUUUUCAGAUCUAUUAAUCCAAAAACCCAAAAAUACUUUGCUGCACUUUAUUUUAUUUGUGAUCUAUUUAUUCAAUCUAUUACAACCUUUCCCCGUCACGCACCAAUUUGUGGCACCGUACCCGAAAGGGAUUGAGAACCCCUUUAACACGUCGGGUUGCCGGGGAGGAUCUUCAACAUAUACCAGGUUCCUAAUCACAAAUCUCAUCUCCUUGCAAUUUACAUUAUUUGCCAUUUGCCUCUCGUUUUCCUCUCCCCCACUUCACAAAAAGUUGCCGUUUUAUUCGCCUCUCUUUUUCAGUUCGCCGUUUUCUUGCCGGAUCUGUUUUCGUGUCUGUUGUUGUUUGCAUAGUCAUGAUGCCUCAAAGAAAAUAUUAUGAUGUUCCUUACCCCAAUAUUUUACUUGAAUUUGAGAAAGUACUAAGGAAUAUAUGACUACACAAUUUGAGCAUAAUAAGUAUUUUACCGAAGAGCUUAAGGAACACUCCGUUGUGCUUGAUGCUAUAACAAAACAACUUGAUGCCAUUAGUAGAUAAGUUUGCAAUCUCCAAUCUAAGUAUGAUUUUGCUGAAAGUUUGCUAGAAAAAUAUCCGAUGCACAAGCUACUCUAGUUAAUCAAAUGGCCGCUAAACCAAUCUCACUAGAGGAUAAAAGUGAUGAAGAUCUUAAAAUGAUUGGUGUUUCUUCUAUUGAUUCCUUGUUUAGUAAAGUUAAUAUUGAUGAAAAAGGGACUGGAGAAGAGUCAACUUUAGGUAGAAGGCGUCCCAAUAUUUCAGAGGGUGAACAUCUUGAUGAGAAAAUUGAUAAAAGUGGGUUUGAAGAGGUCAAAACUUUAGCUAGUGAUGCGCCCACUCUUUUGGAUUACAAAGACUUUAAUUAUGAUAGUAUCUCUUUGAUUGAUUGUAUUUCUUUGUUGCAAUCCAUGAUAAAUCCACCCCAUGCUUAUGAACAAAAUAAAGCUUUUACUAAACAUAUUGUUGAUGCUAUGAUGAAAGCUUUUGAAGAAAAAUUGGAAUUAUAAGUUUAAAUUCCUAGGAAAUUACAUGAUGAAUGGGAACCUGCUAUCAAAGUCACGAUUAAAAAUUAUGAGUGUUUUGCUUUGUGUGACUUGGGUGCUA